rnacentral:lncRNA from 1 species
UACAAAGAAGUUCUAAAAGACUACAAGAAAGAGUUUCCACUAAAGAAAAACAAUGAAACCAUUUCUACUAAAGACAAACAAUGAAACCACAGAUGCUUUGUGAAAUAUGUACCCGCACAAUCCAACAAACUUUAGAAAUUCACAAACACUACCUAGAAUUUUUGCUGACCAGCAAAAAAUUUAUGCAAUUUAAUUCUUAUUGUUAUUAUUAUUUUCAAUGUGAACAAAUAUGAUUGAAUUAUGAAGUAUUUGGCCAGAAGAGGAUCUUGCCUAAUUAUAGUCAUUAAACAACCAUUUAUACCAUAGCCUCUAGACUUUAAAAAGUUUAUAAAACUCAAGGGCUUCCACCCAAUUUCUAGAUAUCUCCAUAACAUUCUUCUGACUAUUAGAAAGCAAUUACCACUUUAAUUUUUCAUUUCAUGAGUGUUCAAUUCAGAAAAAGACCAGGAUCGAACUUGCGAUCAUGCAGUCGAAAAUCCACCUGUGCAUGAAACUAUUGCCUCACGAUUGCAAACUCAAGUUGGAGUCCAGUAACAACUCUAGGUUUGCUGAUGUGCUCCAUUUGAAAUAAAGGAACUAAAGAAUACUUUAUAAAGAUUAAUUACCUUCAUAUUUUAGGUUGGGGUUAAGGCAAAAUGUGAUAGAUUGAGAGGAAGAAAAUAUAUCUUGUUCAGGAAGCCAAUAUUUUGGAGUUCACCUUUCCAUUCGAGUCCACUCUGCUAUAGCAAAAUCAGAGUCACAACUAUGCCUCUUUAAGCUAUCCUUUAAUUGGAUGAAUUGCAGAUUUGGUUGCUGAGAAAGUGGAUAAGAAAGAAAAAUGCAUACUGUAGCUUGAGAUUAAGAGUUUGUUUUCUAAAAUGAGAGAAAGGGAAAGAGAAAAAAUGCAUAUUGUAGCUUGAGAUUAAGGGUUUGUUUUCUAAAAUGAGAGAAAGGGGAAGAGAAAUGUUCGACAACUUUGAGAUGACAAAUUUUUAGAUUUGGAAAAUUUGAGAUGAGUCUCAGGUUUUUUUUUUUUUUUUUUUGUCUUUGUCUUUGUUUUUUUUUUUUUUUUUUGUUUUUUUCCCAAAAACAACCUGUUAAUGUGGUUGUUGACAUAGAAGUGGGUGAGGGCAAAAUGGGCAUAGAAAAAAGAGUCAACACAAAGUGCACAAAACCCAUAUUAUUUUCCACAUUAAUGACUGAUUCUCAUAUUUCUUGUUCUUGGGAUUUGAAAACCAUAUUAUUUGCAAAUGGACCUCCCAAAGCACAGGUUUCCCUUAGUUUUAUGUCUCCAUCUACAUUUUACAUAUAAAUAGAUUAUUUUAUAAAAUUUGUUUUGUAGAUAUAUUAGUUAAUAAUUAUAUAAUUAAUGAUAUAGAAAACAUAUAAAAAUCAUAUUUAAAAAAGAUAAUUACAUAUUCCUCAACAAUCCAUCCCAAGAAUUCGAGGUUGAGUUGAAAACAUGUAGAGUCUUUGAUGUUAUUAUAAUCAUAUCCAACACAUAUGAUUAUUGUUUAUGAGAUAUUAUUAGAAAGUUUGUCUUAAAAUAAUUGAUUUAUUACCCACCUUUAGCAAAUGCCCAUUUUUGCGUCUUUCAAAAUUUUCAUUUUUUUUUUGUUUAAAAGAAGUAUUGUAAAGAAUGAUGAAAUAAGAAAUUUGUUGAGAAAGUGUGAGUAAAUAAUUUUACAUAAAAAGAGAUUUAAUACUUGAUAAAUAAAAUAAUAAAAUCAUGAUUUCUAGUUGUAUAGGGCCGGGUGGAUGGAGUGGCUAAGAUGUAAUUCUUGAAAUAGAGGAGACAACAUCAAUGUAUAAAAGUUUAACAGAGAAGGAAAGUGUGUUUGAAUGACUUUAUUUUCUUCAUUUAAAGUUUUGACGAUGAGUGUUUAUACAAGAUAAAUUUUCAAAUGAUAGGACUCCUAUUUACAUGGAGUUUGUGAUAUACUAUGAUUAUACAAAUUUAAAAUUCAAACAGAUUCAUGAGUUGAUAGGAGUCUGCUCAAUACGCCCCUUCAAAAUGGUGGGAGAUAGCACACCAAUCUUGACUCGAAGGGCCUAAACUCGUGCAGAAGAUGAGGGCUUUGUUAGAGCAUCGACAAGUUGAUCCGUGGUUGACAUAUGGGACACCUUGAGCUCACCUGAUUAAACCUUGUUUCAAACAAAAUGAAAAUCAAUCGCCGAUGUGUUUCAUGGAGAGUGAAACAUGGGAUUUGCACAAAGAUAUGUUGCACCCACGUUAUCACAAGAGAUAGGAGGUGGUGAUAAAUUUGAAACACUAAGUUUUGAGAGAAGAGAAUUAACCCAAAGAACCUUUGAGGCUGUAGAGGCCACGACGUGAUAUUUCGCUUCAGUGGAAGAGCGUGCUAUGAACUUUUGUUUCCUCGAUGACCAAUACACAAGAUUGUGACCAAGAAAAACAAUGGGAGCAUUGGUGGAGGAUCUGACAUAAGGAUUCCUUGCCCAUUCAACAUUCGAAUAUGCAUGUAGAUUGAUGGGCGAUUUCUUAUGCAAGAACAGACCAUGCACCAUUGUGCCGACUAAGUAUCUAAGCAAUCUUUUAACACAAGACCAAUGUGUUGAUGUUGGAUGGUGCAUAAAUUGAGAUAAUUUAUUCAUCAAGAAGGUGAUGUCAGGGCUAGUAAGAGAGAAGUAUUGAAGGCUUCCAACAAUUGACAUAUAUUUAGUGGGACCAGGAAAAGAGGUGUCAUCACACAGAUUUGGAACAUUGUUGAGGAACAUCAAUGAUUGAACUGGUUUGGUAGCCACCAUUUGUGUUUUCUUAAGAAGCUCUCGAAUGUACUUGAGAUAAAAAUAAUCCUUUGGAAGUAUGUAUCAUUUCAACACCAAGAAUAAAAGAUGAAGUCCUGAGAUCCUUAAUGGAGAAUUUGACUGCUAAUUGAGAGAUCACGCGAGCACGAAAAACAUUAUUGUUACUUGUUAAAAUAAGAUCAUCAAUAUAAAUAAGUAGGUAAACAAUGAGACCACUCUUUUUAAAAAUGAAGAGGGAUGUCUCGGUUUAGGAGUUGACGAAGGCUAUUGAGAGGAGAAAUUGGCAAAGUUCAUGAUACCAUGAUCGUGGAGCUUGUUUAAAGCCAUAAAAAGCCUUACAAAGUUGGCAAAUGUGAUGAUGUGUGUAUUCGUGAACCCAGGAGGUUGAAUCAUGUAAACAUCUUCAUGAAGUGUCCUAUGCUAGAAUGCAUUAUUAAUGUCCAAUUCAUGAGUUGAUAGGAGUCUGCUCAAUACAAUGUGGGAGUGUGAUUUCAAAAUUAGGGUAAUUUCGAAAUGGAUUUUGUAUUCACAAGUUGAAUUUCAAAAUUAUUUUGAAAUGGUCUUUUAACUUUAAGCAGUUGUGUUCAAAAGGUCAUAACUUCUUCGUUUCAAUUUUGAUUUACACAUUGUUUAAAACAUUGGACUCUUUACUUCCCGAGCUUCAAAACGAUAUAUAGUAUGCUCAAAAAUGACAUCAGGAUUGGUUCAAAUUUCAUCUUGAUAUUAGAGUACAUGUUGUGAUUAGAUUUUGAGUUCCAAAUUUCCAUGUAAACUUGAUUGCAUUUGCUUCAAACCUCCUUCAUUAUGGUUGCUUGCCCUCUAUCUCACUUUGCAACAUUUGUUACUAGUAUUUUAUGUCCAUGACUUACUCAUUUCAACCUUUCUUGGAUUCUUCAUGGUUCACAAAUUAUGGAUUCUUCAUGGUUCACAAAUUGAGUCUUUCAAUUAUGCAUGUUUAACUCCUAUUUCCUUGGUUGAUAAUGACUUUUACACUUAUCAUUUUCUUUUAUUCUUUAAACCUGAAUUUAGACUUACAAAAAAAAGUUAGAUCCAUAACUAGGGUCUUAGCAUCAAUUUGAGUUAAGUUGGAUGAUUUGAAAAUUUUAUAUUACAUAAAUCAUAUCAUACAUGUGCCAUUGGAGUGCACAUUUUGGCUCUAAUCAUGUUCCAACCCAUUGUUUUACUCUUGCAUGAAGUAUGUGGCCAUUGAUUUUAAUUUUAUUUGCGAUUAGGUUCAAAAUGGUGCUUUUGUGUUGCUCAUGUGUCAUCAGAAGAUCAACUAAUGGAUUCUCUAACAAAACUACUACAUCAUAGUCAUUUUUUUUUUUCUUAAGACCAAGAUUGAGAUCUCCAAUCGGAGCCAACUCCAUCUUGGGGGCAUGUUAGUGAAAGAUAAAAUUUAUCUUUAAUUUAAAUAUUAAUAUUUAUCAGUUAUUAGUUUUAAUUAGAGUAAAAGAUAGAGUUUAAAUUGGAGUAGGAGAUAAACUUGUGUUUGAACUAGAAUAGAAGAUAAAGUAUAAAGAUUUAUGUUUGAAUUAGAAUAAAAUAUAAAGUUUGAAUUAGAGUAGAAGAUAAACUUGUUCUUUAUUUGUAUAUAAAUAUUCAUCAAUUCUUGAGAAGAAGAUUAUUUCAUAGUUUUUCUAUCUUCUUUUUUCUUCAUACAUAUCUGCAAGAAAUUGAAGAUUUCAAGUAAAAUAUUUUCUGUUUUAAAUAGUGAAAAAAGCUAGAAAUUCACUUUGUUAUCUCUUGGGGUAAAUUGACAAGGUUUAACGUUAAGAAGGUGAAUUAUUUUUUCAGAAAAACUGAAGUAGCUAGGAUAUCUGGCCAGUUGUGAUCGAUAAAAAAGUUGUAAAAUCUCUCAUAUACUAAACAGGUUUUGGAUGUUGGUAUGGUAAAUCCAUCUGCAGUCAUUCGUCAUCUCAUCUAGUGAGAUGUUUGGGAGGUGGUGACCGCCGGAUUGGGUUUCAUUUGGUUAAAUCUGUCAGUGGGUUGGCUACUACCCGAGCCUCUUGCUUUGGGGGAGGUGGGUUCUAGAUAUAAUGUUCAAACCAUUUUAGUUAUCAUAUGCAUGACAUGUAAGCAUAAUCUCUUUAUCACUUCUUCAAUGGGAGUUCAUGGUUAGGAAUUGACUUCUUUUCUUCUGGGAUGCUUGGCAUGUAAUGGACAAAGUUACUUUUAUAUCGAUCGAAUUUCUAGUAUUAUAGUGAAGACUUACCCUUUUGACAUUUUAUAUCGAAUUAUAGAAGAUGAAAGGGACAUACAUGCAAUCGACUGACGCUUUAGUGAAUAUGCUGAAAAUAUGCUGAUGCUGUGGAGAUCGUAUGAGGACAGAGGAAAAAGAUAGAAAUGGAUAUAUAAUUAGACCUAGGUUUUUAUUAAAUGAGAUGGGGAACAUAGAGUGAGGGAAAAUCAAAAUUUUUGGCUGCAGUUCACAUUGGUGAUAUUUUGGAUUGACAAAGACUAACGACUUUUCUAUUUUUCUUUUCGGCCUGACUGGAUAGUUGGACAUGGACAAUACAGAAUCCACAGAAGGAUUGUUGGGACCGCUGAAAAUUAGCUAGAAGAAGCUGAGGAAGUAGUCUACGUAGUCAAAUACCAAACACAAAGAAAGAAAGAAAUGGAUAUCAUGGAUGCCUAGAGUUAUACUCCUAAUACCGUCACAGGUAUUUUUCUUUCCUCCUUUUUUUUUCUACGAUAAUUAGAGCAUUUCUCCUCCUCCUCCUCCUCCUCCCCCCACCCCACCACCAAAAAAUAAAAAAAUAAAUUAUUGCAAGUAACACUUCAAAUAUUAAUUUAUACAUUCUAAAGUAUAUAUUCAUGAAAUAACUUGAGUAUCAUACAUUAGUUCUCAAAAAAAAAAAAAAAAAAAAAAAAAAAUUACUGGAAGAGAAAAGUUUAAGAAAACAUAAAAAUAUUCAACUACUAUUUUAAAGAGAAAAUUUAAUUUUUACACUAUAAAUUUGAAGAGAACUUUUACAUGCAUCUUAUAUAAACUACCAUUUUUUGCUAAAAGGCUUAAAUUUGUCAAAAAUACCCCUUAGGUGCUUAACGUUCUGGUCAUAAUAUAAUUGGCAUCUUUUCUCAAACAUAAGGCCUGUGUGUGGGAACAAGAUUUAAUGUUAAUGAGCUUCGCCACCGACAUUUAGUUCCAGAAAUCAUUAUUUUAAUAGAGUGGGCUCAAUUUACAACUUUAAUUAAACUCUAACCAACUGCAUUGUGAAAUGAAUAUGUUUCUUUCGUGGUGAAUCCAAUGAGUUGGGAGUCAAACUUUGCUUCAUUGUGUAUAGAUGAAAUGUUAAGACUCCAUGUAACCUCAAACAUUUCCGCAAUNNNNNNNNNNNNNNNNNNNNNNNNNNNNNNNNNNNNNNNNNNNNNNNNNNNNNNNNNNNNNNNNNNNNNNNNNNNNNNNNNNNNNNNNNNNNNNNNNNNNUUCUUUCGUGGUGAAUCCAAUGAGUUGGAGUCAAACUUGCUUCAUUGUGUAUAGAUGAAAUGUUAAGACUCCAUGUAACUCAAACAUUUCCGCAAUGAGCGGGAGUUCUAAAUUUAAUAAUUGAAAUUGUCAGUGGAACCAGUGGACAAGAGUUGGUUUGUGGUUGACAAACUUAUCCGUUUGAUCUUUACUUGAACAGUUCCAGUGUGUGGAUGGGUACUGAUGAAGUGUGCGCAUUUAUUUUGAGAAGCCUGCUUGUUCGCAUAGAUUUUAACGACAUGAACAUUGUGGUAAGGUUAGAGAGUAAUGCGAAUGUAGGAGCUUAUAUUAGAAAUGACACAAACACGUAAAUAGAAGUAAUCUAUAUAUGAUAUUACUCAUGGACUACAAGCAAAGAAGUACAAUACAUGGAGUAAGUGAUGAAAUGAGCAUUCCUCACUACUACUGCUUGACUGAUGGAACAUGAUGCACGAGAUAGCAUAAGUAGUAGUAGGAAGCAGCUCUUAUUUGUGGCGUCGGUAUACAUCAUACUAGGUAGAUGGUUCAAUUGGCAUGGAUGGGUGGUGGAGCCUUGAAGUGCUUGUGAUGGGGAGCCCACGGCUUCUUCUCAGGAGUUGGUGGCUUCUUGUAUGGAGUUGAUGGAGGUGUUUCUACUGGAGGGUGGCCAGGGUAGUGACCCUGGGGUGGUGAAGGUUCUUUUGUCGGUGGUGGCCUCACUAUUAUUGGCGGUAGAGUUGGUGGCUUGGGCGUUGGCGGUGGUCUCACUACUCUUGGGGGUAGAGUUGGUGUCUUGUGUUUUGGUGGUGGAGGUGGCUUAACAGGAGUUGGUGGCUUGUAUUCUGGGGGUGGUUUCUCCACCGGAGGUGGCUUAUAAACUGGAGUUGGUGGCUUGUAUUCUGGGGGUGGCUUCUCCACUGGUGGUGGCCUGUAAACAGGGGUUGGUGGCUUAUAUUCUGGGGGAGGCUUCUCCACUGGAGGCGACUUAUAAACAGGGGUUGGUGGCUUGUAUUCCGGGGGUGGCUUCUCUACGGGAGGUGGCCUGUAAACAGGGGUUGGUGGCUUCUCCACCGGAGGUGGCUUAUAAACGGGGGUUGGUGGCUUGUAUUCUGGGGGUGGUUUCCCCAGUGGUGGAGACUUGUAAACAGGAAGAGGUGGUUUGUGCUCAUAUGGGGGUGGCUUGUGGUCAUUAGCAAGUGAGGGAGUGGUGAGGACCACCAAUCCAAGGAACAACACGAGUGAGCAAGCAGAAGACAUGUUUGGGCUCUGGUGAUGCACAAGUAGAAGAAAUGGGAACCAUUUAUAAUGCUUCGAGACCUUGGUUAGCACCAAAAUAUGUCAAAAUCUUGAUUACUUCAUUUCAUACAUAGAUUUAAAAUUAUUUCAAUCAACCAUGAUCCUUAAUUUUCUGGGUGGUCCAUAAAUGUAAUGGGGUCAAUUUGGGACCUAACAAGCUGAGAAGUUUGACAAUGCUGCAAGGCUUCAUCCGAAAGUCCGGGGAAGAAUAUUAGGAGUUACACUCCGUUUCCUUUUUUGGGUGCAUUUUUCUCCUUUAACAUUCUAUUCCCUUUUACAUUAGCAUUUGAUCUUAGCUCAUUUCAAGUACAAGUUUCUUGAACCCUAUACCAUUGUCAAAGUUGAGUAACCAUCUCUACUUUGCUCAAGAAACAUAAAAGACAAUGACAAUAAAGAAAAAGGAGAGAGACCAUACGUGACUUGGUUUAUAGGUGGCUUUGUGUUGACAUUUGAGUAUGGAAGCCGACAUGCAUCUUAGCUUCGAUUUUAAUUAAAUUUGUACAUUAGUGUCUGUGUCAUUCAUUUUGGUAUAAAAGGUCUCUUGAUUUCGUAAGUUUGGUAAGAACCGUUGAAAAUAGCAGUAGCAGCACAUGGUCCACUUUCUUUCACAAAAUAAUUUUAAAAGUUUAGAAGCAUAGGAGGUAACAUUAGUGGCCUUGUGGCUCAGCCACGAGUACUAUGUGGUGCUCGAGAAAUUGAGUUUAAUUUCCUUCCGAUAGUUCAUGAUAAGGUCCGUCACUGUCCUGAGACAGAUUGCGUUUUUUCUUUUUUCCUUUUUUAGUGUUUUAUUGACUAGCUAGGUGUGACUUUUCCUACUUUAAGGCACGAGGCAGAAAAGAAACUGGGAUUUAGUGCUUAAGAAGGCAAAUUUAAUUCGAUUUGGAUCUAAAAUUUGCCAGCAACAUGAGAUUUUCCAGCCUAUCGUUGCUCCACAUAUAGACAAGGCACUUGUAGAAGUGGCUUGUUUGUAGCCAUUCCCGAUAUUUGGACUCACUUGAUUCACCGGACACUUUGAUAAAAUUUAAUAUUUAUUAUUUAAUAAUUUAAAUUGAUUUAAAAUUAAAUUAUACCGAAGUUGUGAUUUAAAAAUUAUUAUUUAAUUCUUACUUUUAAAUAUGAAGAUUAUUUGAUAAAAAUAAUUUAAAAUUUAUUAUAAAUUAUCAAAUUAACAUAUUUAUCCUUAUAAAUUAUAAUUAAAACAGAAAAGGUCAAAUGAUUUGAGUAUCCAUAGAUGUGGUAAAAUAAUAAAAAAGAUUAUAAAAACAAUUAUGAUAAAUAAAGAUAAAAAGUAAAAUGAAUAUGUGAAUUUAAAGAAUAAAUUAAUUAUUUUUAUUUAUUACUUAAAAUUAUUUUUGACUUUAAAUUAUAUUAUUAAAUUAUUUUACCAAACAUACUUAAUUUAGUUAAUAAUUUAAAUUUAAUUUAAGUUAUUAAAUUGAUUCACCAAAUACCCACUUAAUCAAAGACUGAAGUAUACAUUAUUUGGCCAAAUGCAGCUAUUGAAAUUUAACUUUUUCCAAACUUAUUCAUUUUGUGGAAAUAUUUUUAGAAAUGAUUUUAAAAAUGCACUAUUCUGUGUGUUGAUUUUAUAUUUUGGCAUUAAUCCAACAUAGAAAACGGUUCUUAUUUUCGCUGUUAAAUAGGUACCAGAUCCUUAAUUAGUGCCGUGAAUCCGGCAGCUUCCAAUGAGUAAUUUGGACUUGGGUAUUGACAAUGUGUGGCCAUGCUUCUACUAUUUUAUUAUUCUUGAAACAUAUAUGAUAUAUUGGACUUUAUACAGGGAAAAAAAAAAAAAAAAGUCUUCACCAAAAAUGAUUCCUCCUAAAAAAUAGACUCCACAAACUAGGUUUAACAGGAAAAUGAUUCUAAUCUAGUAGUUUCCAGCCACAUGAGCAUUUACGUAACAAUAGUAUAGUUGAUAACGACUUUUAUUUUAUUUAUUUUUAAAUAGUUAAAGGGAUAAUUUUUGAGCUUAAAUUUUAUUUUUUUAUUUAGAAACAUUUUACUUUAUUUUUUAAUCAUAAUUCUAUUAUAUUAAUGUUUUAUUUUCUAUUUUUUAAUAUAUAAGGAGAUACUAAAUUUAUGUGAUUAUUUUUUAAAAAUUUAGUAUAUGAAAUUAAAUAAUUGGAUAUAUAUACAUAUAUCAUAUAAUGUUUUUUAAGUGUGAUUUUUGAACUUUUUAGUCAUUUUAUAAGUUUAAGCUUUUGAUUUUUUUUUUUAAACUUUGGUAUUUUUUAUUUUAUAUAAAACUAUUUUGAUUUAAUUUUAUUAAAAAAUAUUGGUAUUAUAAAUUAUUGUAUUAAUUAUUUUUUUAUAUUAUAAUGUAACUGGUAUAUACUAAAAAAUGUAUGCAAGUUCAAUUUAAGUUUCAAAUUAAAAAAUUUCAUUUAAAUAUUUAAUAACUUGUUCAUAAUAAAAAAUUAAACAACAUAAUACAAAUGAAAAGAAACAUAAAAGAAAAAGGAAAAAAUGGUCCUCUCUGUGUGUCACAUUACUAGGUCAUCCUCUUUUUCUAUGACCCUUACAAUAGAAUGGCAUAUUUGUCAAAUCUACUUAUGAAAGUUGGAAUGUUUCUACAUGUGUAGGGUCCAUUGGAACUAAUGGAGGAAAGGCUUAACGUCUAUGUAAAUCACAACGUUGCCUAGGUGGGCAUAGAUCUAGUUGUGUAACAUGAGAUGGUGUGAGAGUACAAUAUAUGCAUUGUAGUCUCUAUGGGAAGAGAGAUAGGUAAUGGUAGGGUGGUAGACGGUAGGGUGAUCUCUAAUAUAAUGACAUUUGAUGUGGUGGCUUCUAAGAGAGGAGAUAUAAGAGAUGGUAGAAUGACAUUUGGUGUAAUGGUCUCUAGUGCAAUGACAUGUGAUAUGGUGACCUAUAAAGAAGAGAUAUAGGUGAUGGUGAAGUGGUAUGUGGUGUAGUGACCUUUGAGAUAGAAAAUAGAGGUAAUGGUAGGUUGGCAGGUGGAGUGGUCUUUGGUGUAGUGACAUCAAUUAUAAAUGUCUCCAAGGGAGGAAAUAAAGGUGAUGGUAGGUAGUAAAUGUUGAGGUGGUCUUUGAUAUGUUAUGCUCUAAGAGAGAAGGUAUAGGUAAUGAUAAUAGGGAAUUUGACAUAGUGGUGUUGGAAAUAAAAAGUGAAAGUGACCGUAGAGGUGAAAGGGCAAGUGUAAAAGCCUCAAGUACGAAUGGAGUAAUUAAUGUGGAUGGUGCUAACAUAGUCUUAGGUGGAUACACAAAUAGUCAUAGUCAUCAACUAGCUUGCCCACCAUCUGUCUUUCUGCUAGUGAUAGGUUACAUCUUAAUAGUAAUGGCCAACAUAAGUGGUGUGGAUCCGAUUUUUUUACGUGUGUCCCCACUCAAUCGACAAGACUUAUUUUUUAUUAGUGAAAAAUUAAUUUUGGAAAAGUUGGAGUCACCACUUAUUUUAUUUUAUUUUAAAAAGGAAAGUAAAACAAGAAAGAGAACUCUAAAGAAGUGACUUCAUAGUUUUGGAAAAGUUAGUCUUAAAAAAUCCAAGUCUUGGUCCGGAGAUCAGGUUACUUAUUGGGAAGAUACCUCUAAGAGGUAAUACCCCUCUAAACCCUAAAGAAGUCUCUAAUGACUAAGUUGAGGAGAAUGUGGUAAUUAAUUAAUUGAUUGAGGGUACCUAGGUAGACUAAGGUGAUUUCAGAAUUAACAUACCAAGCUAGAAAGUCCAAUCAUGAUCAUAAAAGAGAGUCAAAGUAUGUACCUGAACUGCUUCUCAAACGCUAUCAUAAAACAUCAAAGUUAGUAUAGAAAUAUAACACAUAAUAUUUGUUUUAUCCAAGCAAAUAAAGCAUACAUCUAAGCACCCAAGAAUCACAUCAAGUAUGGAUAUAGUCAUCAAUAGCAUACGUGUCCAUAGAACUAUCGAAAGUAAAUGUGGAGGAGCGUAUCUGGACAACAUAGAUAACUUAUAAUGUGCUUCCACAAGACAUGGGGGUUAGAUAAAAGUUAUAAUAAUAAUUAGUAAAUGAAAGAAUUCUAGCAUGUUUGGUAUCUAAAUAACAUAGCAAAAAUGAACAAGAGUACACGAAAACAUCAAUUAUCACACGAGUCAUAUUGGCUAGUAUUUAAUCAAUAAACCAACAAUAAAUGACUAUAAACAUAUAAAAUGACAUAUUCAAAGAGACCCAAACAUAAAGAGCCUAGAACACAAGCUUACACUAAAUUUAGAAAACUAAAACAUGGAAUUUUAAAAGCAUAAAUUAGCAAACAAAUUGAUGGAAACUAAAUUUAGAUAACUUAAGAAUAUUUUUCUUAUCCUUCAAUUUAAAUCAGUAAGCCAACAAUAAAAAAUUAUAGAAACAUGGAAUAUCAAGAUCAAUGGGAUACCUAAACUAUAAUUUUUAAAAGAAAAUAAACUAAGCAUAAUAUCUACAAAGCAACUAAACUAACAUUUUUUUAAAAAUAAAUUAAACAUGACAUUAAUGGAGUAACCAAACUAAAUUAAAGUAAACUAAAAACAUUUAUGAAUUUUCAAACAUGGAAUCAGCUUUCUUAGUAAAUUAAAAUUAUUAAAAUAAAAUCUAAGCUUAAAAAUGAAUUAAAUACUAACUAAAGCAAAUCUAAAACCAAAUAUUUAACACAUAGGAUCAAUUAUAUUAACAAACUAAAAUUUUAUAAGAACACUUAAACCUAAAGUUGAAUUAAAAACUAACCAAUUUUUAAAACUAGAUCUUUAACCCAUAGGAUCAAUUAUAUUAACAAAUAAAUAAUAAAUAAUAAAUAAAUAAAACUCAAACCUAAAGAUGAACUAGAAAUGUACCAAAGUAAAUUCAAAACAAGAUCUUUAACACAUUAGAUCAAUUAUAUUGACUAACUAAAAAAAAAAAAAAAAAACACUCAAACCUGAAACGAUGUAUUAGAAACUAACCAAAGCAAAUUUAAAAUAGAGUCUUUAACACAUAGGAUCAAUUAUAAUCACUAACUUAAAUUACAAUUUUUGAAACAUGAACUAAUUAGUGUUGGAUUAAUUAAACUAAUUAACUAAAAAAAACUAUAAACUAGAAUACGGUGAAUCAAGAAUUCAAAUCAACAAACAUAAAAUAUGGGUACAAUGAAAUGAAAAUCUAUUAAACUAAUAAGACGGAAAUAUGACAAACUCAUGAACCCACAUUUUGAUCAACUAGGAAAUAGAAAUUAAUAGACCUGUAGCAUGGAUACAAUGAAAUGAGAUCAGUUAAAUUUAUUUGCCGAAAUUCUAAAAAACACAUACACUCAAAUAAGAUCUAAAUCUAAGACCAAGCAAAACUCAAACUUUCUCAAUCUAAUGCAAUGAAUCAAAACUAAAAUUAAAUAGAAAUCAAACCAUUUUUUUUUUAUCUAAUAUAAUAAAUCAAAGCUAAAACUAAACAAAAUCGAAUUUUCUUAAUUUAAUAUGAUGAGUCAAAGCUAAAAUUGAACAAAGUUCAAACCUUUAUAUAAUGGAUCAAAGUUAAAUCUAAAUGAAAUCCAUACUUCCACAAUUUGAUAUAACAAAUCAAAAAUAAAACUAGAUAAAAAAAAAGUCAAAGCCUUUCAACUUGACAUAGUGAAUCCAAACUGAAACGAAACAAAAUUUUAACUUUUCCAAUGAAACCCAAUAUAGAAAAAAUUAGCUUACCUUCUUUAGAAUAUAUGUAUGGGCCAUAAAGAAGUCACCUUGGUGCAUGUGUUCCUCACUUUGACGCCAAUGGACGACUUUCUAUGGUAGCAAAUGGAGAUCCUUUUUGGUGGUAACUUGCGUGUGGAAACCUAUGGUACAACCAAUGUCAUCUUUUAUUGUGCGUGUGGACCAAUUUCUUCUCGAGAACUCAUGUGUGUUGUGCUCAAAAUAUGUUGCCUGUGAGAAUCUAUUGGUAUACCCCACAUAUGGUUUCCUUGAGAGAAUCUGUGGUUGUGUGUGGGCGUUUUCUUCAUGACAGCAUGUGGAUGUUCCCAUCUAUGGUAGAUUGGUUGUGAUGCUUUAGUGCAUGGUCUCCAUAGGAAUAGUGUGUUAUGGAAAUUUGGUUUUUUUAUUGGUGCAUGUUGUCUAGACUUUCCCAUAUGCGUGGACUGUGUGUUCAUGCUUUUCUUUUCGGAUGGUCGCCUGUGUUAAUGUGUGGCGGUGUCUACAAUGAAAGAUACAACCCUUUCUCUCCUUCUGCGUGAUAGAAAAGUCAAUCCCCCAUGGUGCGACUAUGUUCCCUCGUCCUUUUUGAAAAAUUUUGGUGUUUUCCCCCCAAAAAAUCCCCUCCAAAAAUCUAAUUAUAAAUGUCUGCUUUGGCCUAAUGUGUGUGCUACUUUUUUUUUCCUUCUUUUUAUGGUUGUGCGUGCUUUUCUUGAUACGUGGCUUAUUUCUUAAGGAUAUGAUUCGCUCCCAAUUGGUGUCUCAGCUGAUUCAUGUCCUUUCAAUGGUCCCUGACAGUGGUGCCAUUUGAUUCGUGUCCAGCUGGUGUCCCUUGAUUGUGGUCCUCAGAAGGGAGUAAUCAAUAAAAUUUAUAACCUAUUACACCAUGUAUUAGGAUAGCCUUAGCUAGCAUAGCAUAGUGGCUCUAGGGUCGUUUAUUGGGAUGAGUUUUCACUUCACAAUUGAUAUUAAUUCAAGAGCUGAAUUGGUGCCUUUUCAUUUCAAGGUUAGCUUUAAAAGAAAACAUAAUCUUUGGUGGAAAAAGGUUUGGUUUUAAACUAACCAAAAAUAGUAACUGAUUUUACUUACAAAGAAAAGUGUUCUUUGGAGUUUAGAUCACUAGGCUCAGGUUCCUCAUACAAAAAGGAGAGUUCCGAUCAUUUGUUUCUUUUCCUCGCAUUAGAGAAUUAACAUAUAGUUAAUUCUCUAACCGGUGCGGUACAUAUGCUUCCCAUUAAUGGGUUCAAACACUAAAUACCUCUCACUGAUGCACCUUGCAAUGGCUCGUGCCUCUCACCUAGCAUUUAUCAUUCAAGGUGAUCUUUAACCUUGGAUUACCCAUCAAAAGCUCGCAAGAGAUAACUAAAGGAUGUCUCCUUAGAGUCCAAAAGCUUACCAAGUGUUGGUUAUUCUAGAAAAUCCUACCUUCAAACCACCUCCCAAAGGCUCGCAAGAGAUAAACAAGUGCAUCUCAAUGGAUGAAGAUCACUUGCCUUACCAAGUUUUGGCCCAGAUGAUUUAAUGACAUUUUAAGUUAACUAAAAAGAUAAAAACCAUUAACGGGUCACACUUUCUCUUCAUUAAAAACUAAAACAACAAAACUUCCAAUUUAUGCAUGAGGAAACUUACCUGGCUUUCUUCACUUCAAGAGAUGAAGAGCCUAGCCACUCAUCAUUUGAGGAAAAAUCCUCAGAGUUUGAUUUGCUAGAAAUAAAAAUAAUGAGAAAACAAAAAUAUAUAUAUGAAAAACAGAGCAAGUUCUCUGUAAUAUAUUUUUCUUCCUUAUACAAAAGGUUGUCUCUAAGAACAAGUUCCCGAGAUCUAUCUGAUUGUAAAUAAAAUUACAACUAUAUAUAAGAGGUUAUUCACCCCUUUGUUCUUUCUUAAAGACUAAGGAAUCCUAUGAUAGGUGGGUUACAAGGAGAGUUUGGGGAUUUAGACAUCAAAUAUCUAAAGCAAAAUAUCUCAAGAUGUUAGUCGGAAAUAUCAGGAAGCUUCAGGAGAACACCGCGACACUGUAUACUGAGAGAAAAACUCUCCGGGUAAGCUCUAUCAAAGGAUCCAGACAUGUCUGACUGGGAAAGUUGAAACGUCCUUCUCUCCCAUCCGGAUGUGAGAUAUCCGGAGAAAGUGAAAUGUCGGUCGGACAGAAUUCUUUCCCCGGGUGGAAUGAGUUGUGUUGCGCGUCGCAAGGGGGACCGUCUGCGUGUACAAGUUGUAGGGACCCCUCUCCCGGAUGACACCGAGCGCGUAAGGCUAUCCGGAUCAACUCCAUUCGGAUUCCCCAAGAGGACAUGUGGCGUGCUCCCCUAUCAGGACUCCCUUAGGGAGAAGCACACGACACUCGUGAACAUCAUACCCGGACGAUAGCAUGUCCUAUCCGGAUGUGUUGUCCGGAUCAUUGACUAAAGUGAGCAAGCCUUGCUACGUCAUUCGGACAGCUUGCCACAUACCAUGUUCCGUCGCCAUCUGAUGGUGUGUCCGAACGCCUUGUCCGGACAUCUUUUGCUCCUUGCAUUCCGGAUUUGCUUAUGACAAAGGACUUCAAAGCUUCGGUUCUUCAUGUUUCUGAGCUUUCCAUUGCUUUGCCAUGGAUUCCAAAGAACUCUCCUUAAUCACGGAUUGCUUUGGUGAUCAAAAAGUUAUCAAAACACAAAAACUUAACAUAGUUUGAUUAGAAUUGAUUGCAAGGGUUCUUAAUAUGUUAAUUGGGUUAAAAGGUGAUAACUACUACUCAAAAGUGUUUAUAAGAAUUAAUUACAAGCUAUGAAAUAACACUUUUUGAGUAGUAAUCAGGAUACAUCCUAGUUUUUCAUGGAAUUGAUAGUGGGUUGUUGUGCAUGAAUGCCACCAUUUCAACUAUGCUGUUGUUAUUUUUAAAAAAAAUAUGGAUUAUGCGCGAGUGGCAAUUCUCCACUAUGGAAAGUGGAUUGCUCCUUCAACCCAUGCAUGGCUACGUAUUCCUAUGUCUUUCUACUUGUGUUUGAUCCUCCAAAAAAAAUUUCGGUUUAGUGCUAGUAGAUUUUAAGUGGUGGAUCCCCAUUUUUUGAAAAUGAAGUGGCAGCCUCCCAUUUCAAGACAAAAUGGUAGCCUGCCUUUAAUCUUUGGAGAAAAAUCUGUGCAUGACCUUUUUUUUUCCCAAAAAAUCCGUGCAUGGUGUCCUUUAAUAUUUGGAGAAAAAUCUAUGUUGGAUCUUUUCUUUUCUAGAAACAUUUGUGUGGUCUUUUUUGUUAGCCCAAGGGUUCUUCUAAUCAAGUUUUGAUGAUAACAAACCAUGGUUAAGUGACUAAUUGGUUUAAUGAUUAAGAAUCUCAAACAUAAAAUCGAAAAUUCAUCAAAGGACCAAAUGGAUACAAGAUCGAGACGCUUGGAAGACUUGUAAUCAUAGGAAACUAAUGUAAGAUGAAUGCAUGAGUGCACUUAGGAUUUUCACACGUUUCAUGCAACUUAGAAAACCCAGUUUAUUCUUUAAAACUUCAUCCCAGUUUAUUCUUUUUAUGGUUGUGUGUGCUUUCCUUGAUACGUGGCUUAUUUAUUAAGGAUACAUCCCAGUUUUUCAUGGAAUUGACAGUGGGUUGUUGUGUGUGAAUGCCACCAUUUCAACUGUGCUGUUGUUAUUUAAAAAAAAAAAAAAUGGAUUGUGCGCGAGUGGCAAUUCUCCACUAUGGAAAGUGGAUUGCUCCUUCAACCCAUGCAUGGCUACGUAUUCCUAUGUCUUUCUGCUUGUGUGUGAUCCUCCAAAAAAAAUUUUGGUUUAGUGCUAGUAGAUUUUAAGUGGUGGAUCCCCUUUUUUUGAAAACUAAGUGGCAGCCUCCCAUUUCAAAACGAAGUGGUAGCCUGCCUUUAGUCUUUGGAGAAAAAUCUGUGCAUGACUUUUUUUUUCCCAAAAAAUCCAUGCAUGGUGUCCUUUAAUAUUUGGAGAAAAAUCUAUGUGGGAUCUUUUAUUUUCUAGAAAAAUUUGUGUGGUCUUUUUUGUUAGCCCAAGGGUUCUCCUAAUCAGGUUUUGAUGAUAACAAAUCAUGGUUAAGUGACUAAUUGGUUUAAUGAUUAAGAAUCUCAAACAUAAACUCGAAAAUUCAUCAAAUGACCAAAUGGAUACAAGAUCGAGACGCUUGGAAGACUUGUGAUCAUAGGAAACUAAUGUAAGAUGAAUGCAUGAGUGCACUUAGGAUUUUCACACGUUUCAUGCAAUUUAGAAAACCCAGUUUAUUCUUUAAAACUUCAAUUUCAUUAAAACCCGAGUUUUUAACUAAUGUACCUUAGGCAAAAUGUUUUAUAAUUGGCUUAAUAAUUCACCUAAAUACAUUUUCUAAGUGUUAGAAAAGAAAGGAAUUAAAAAAAGGUUUUCGGGGCAAAAAAGGCUCAACCGGUCGAGGCUAUGGUCAACCGGCUCAACCGGUUGAGGAACCAAUCGAUCGGUUGUGCUUGUCCGAUCGAAGACCAAUCGAGGGAUGCCAAAAAAUUUCUCUCUCUCCUAGUGGCCUUCUCUUCCCGGUCGAGGUUCGGUCUAGGCAACGGUAACAUGUCAAGCAUUAAAUGCUCCGACGACUAGUGAAUCGGUCGACCCCUAGCCCGAUCGGACGAGGUUGCCUUUUGCUGUUUUUGACUCCCGAGCUUAGAAACCUAUAAAUUGAGAGCUCCACUUCAUUUAUUGAUAAAAGAGAACACUUGCAUUCAAUAGUCUACCUACCUUUUCUUGAUCAAAAAGCUCUCAUUUCCUUCAUAGUGCAUUAAAUCAUCACUUGCAUAUCCUUUAGUGCACUAUUGUGUGUCAUCCUAGCUUUGUUUUGUAUUUGAGCUAUCCUUAAGCUAGGUUGAGGGAUUAUUUCUUAUAAAAAUCUGAGUGUUAAAGCCUUCAAGAGAUUUGAAUCUUGAAGAGAUUGUGUAAGAGCCCAUUGGAGCCGGAGUCCAAGUGUAAGAAGAUUGGAAGCUUGGUUGAAGCUUCAAGUUAGUGGAACCCUCACUCGGUUAGGAGGUUGAGGAGAGUGGACGUAGGUAAGGAAGUGUCGAACCAUUAUAAACCCGAGUUUGAAUUCUCUAACUCUAUCUCUUUAUUUUGCUUAUAUUGUGUUUGAAUUUGUUGUGAUUGAAAAGAUUUUAAAAACCUAAUUCACCCUCCCCCCUUUUGGGUUUUUUUUUCUUAAUUAAGCAUAACCUUUGUUUUCUAAUUUUCUUUUUAGGAAAAUCCAUGCGUGGUAUGUCCAAACUCUCCAAGUGGCAGUCUGCCUUCUUCUAAAAAAUUUGUUUCUAUUUCUUUAUUCGACUACCUUCCAUGUCUUCCUAAUGAGUGCUUGUGCUCAAUGGUCAAUCCCUGGUGGUUGCCUCCUUUUCCCAUAUAUACGUGUUGCAAAAUCAACAUCCCACUAUAUGUGGGUUGCCUCUAUGGCAAGUUCACAUUUCCCACAUGAAACCUAUGAGUUUCCACCAAAAAUUGCCAUGAAAAAGUCUUUAUAUGCAUCUCAUGCAAUAAAAAGUCAAGCCAAUACUCAUCUUAUCUCGAAAAAUAAGUAACCAAAAUCAAGAUCAUGCCUAAGUGAACUAUGCCAAAAGAAGUGUCCAAGUGACCUAUUAUGAAAAAAGUGCCUAAGUGACCUAAGGUGAAUGUGUGUAAGCUGGAAGGUGUCUAGGAUGUUUAGGACAAUGCCUAAGCCUAAAAUAGGGUUGCCAAGGGUCACAAUGGGGUUAGAUAAAUCUCUCAAUCAGAGUCUCCAAGGUGGCUCAUAAAAGAUAAGCUACACGAGUAAUGAUGGGCCACCAGGGAAUUAUUGUAAAGCACCAAACGAACACAUAAUAGGACAUGUGUUAGAAUGAAAAAAUGGAGGGUUUACAAGUGGUCUCAUGGAUGAGCUUGAUAAUUUAAAUGACUCACAUAAUGAACGUAUGUGAUGUUUCUCUCCAAUAACAAGCAAAACAUCACUAGCAAUAUGAUGAAUGUCUCCUAAAUCACUUGAAGUAGUCCUAGCAAAUCAAUUAGAAAAAUCACACAUAUUGCUCUAAUGUAAUAUUAUAUACAUCUGUCAAUGAAUGGGAGAACUAAUGACACAACCAUCAUGUUGAUAUCUCGAACCCUCUAAUCUCAUAUGUAGGUGGGAUCACACUUAGAAACUCAUAACACAGUAAUGACCAAUCUAAGUCAAAAUGUGUUGGUGAUCGGAGGCCCAUGAAUAUGAAGUUCUAGGAUGAUAAUGACAUCUUAUAAAGUAAUGAUCAUCUCCUUAAUAGAUAGGUGAAAUGUGUGUGUCUUAGGACACCAUCUCUCAACAAGACUUGUGAUCAAUCCCCAGUCUAGUGUAACAUGCCUAUUAUGACAUCCAUCGUAAAAUCUAGACUAGAUAAUAUAAGGACAAAUGUGAGGGUUCAUCUCCCUUUCCCACAUAAAUUUAAAAAAUUAUUAUUGACAAGUUAAGACCAAACUAAGUUGCAAAAUAUAAAUAAGUCCAUUAGAUAACAAAUUUAUGUUUUCUCAUUUUCUCAUUUUUAAAGAGAUAUUAUGUGCUUCCAUGUACAUACAUGCUAAAGUCAAUUAUACGAGACUUAUAUCCAUCUUGUAGAACCAAAUCGAACCUAUCUAAUAGAUCCAGAUUAGAAGUAUGUCCUCUAUACUCCAUAUUUAUAACACAUUUAUAAAGAUAAAUGCUAAAAAAAUGUUAAAGAUAUAAAUUUAAUGAACCAUACUUUAUGAUUUUAAUUCUCAAUUAUUGUUCAUAUUUAUAAGAGAAAAGUUAAAAAAAUUGAUAGAGUUUUCCCUCUAUCAUGGACAUUAUCCCAAAUAAAAAUAAAUUGAUUAUGCAAAUUACAUUAAUAUUUGUAACCAAAUGAUCAAUAACUAUCUUGUAUCAAUUUAGUAAAUAAAUUUAAGUAUAUCUUUUCAUUUAUGACUAACAAAUAACUCAUACUUGUCCAAUAAAAGCCACACCUAAUUUCUAAAAUUUUGUCUUCACCUCAAGUGAGUGUUACAUUGAGAAAGAAAAAAUAUGAAAGAAAAAAUGAACACCUUUUUCUUUUAAUAAAAAAAGGCCAUAACGAAACAUUAAAUCUCACUGUUACACCUAUCUUCAAUGGAAACAUGAGGAUGUGAAUGGUGGCGGUGAUAUUCUUUGCUUGAAGCUCAUAAACAAAUAUUCCUUACUAAGCCUAUGCCAUUUAGUAUUUCAAUAGUGGACCCCCCCCCCCCCCCCCCCCCCCUCCUUGCAUUUCAGAUUUAGCAAACUUAGAACCAAAUAACAAAGUGCAUUUGAACCCAUAAAGAAGUAAUGAGACUCUCCUAUAUUGGCAAUAGAAGAAAUUUUUGGAGGUAUAGGAGAUUCACGGAUGAAGAAGUUGGGCCCCAAUUGAGAUAAGACCCAAGAAAAGAUGGGGUAGAGAGGGAUGGUUGGAAAUUGUAAAGUAAGAUUUUCAAAAUGUAGUUGAUGACUAAGAUUUUGACAAUUUAAAAAAGGUUUAAAAAUGUAGUUAGCAAUCGGGGUUUUGUAACAUUUAAAAAAUAAAAUAAAAUCUCAGGCCACAUGGUAGCCCAUGUGAUUCAGAAGCUUGAGAAUUAUUUUAUAAGAAGACUUAAUUUGUGAUUUUUUUAUAACUAUAUUAUUUUUUUUCUUAACACACGAAAAAAAUUAUGAAAUAAGACAAUUUUCCUAAGAAAGCAUGUAAGUGACUCUUGGUUAUUUUAUUUAACUUCUUCUAGUUUGGAGAGGAUUAAUACCUUUGCUUUUACUCACUUGCUUGGAUAUGUACACGUUGUUCAUGUCACUUUUCAUUUAAUUUUCUGAUUAAGGGAAUUGGAACCGUACGUAACUGUCUUUAUUCCCUCUGAAACUUGGACUUGGAGUUGGACUUUCAAUCUCAUCAGUCGUGUUUCCAUAAAAAAGAAGAUGGAUUAACCAAUUUUCCUAUGCCUACUAAUCAUACACAAAACUCCACUUCCAAAUAAAAAGGAAUGGGAUAUCACUUGUUAAUAGUGGCUAAAGACUAUUAAUAACCAUGCAAAGAAAUGUCACAUUUUUUGUUCUACGCAAAUUUUAUUCAUCAACUACUAGAACCAUUUCAUACAAUAGUAGCUUUUCGAUCCUUUGAUAAAUGGACACUUGAUGUGAUAACACCAACUACACCUAUAUAUUCAAGCAAUCAUGCGUAUAUAAUAGUGGAUAUGGAUUACUUCUCUAAAUGGGCAAAAGUUUUGUCAUUCAAGGAAAGUGAACGAGGAAACACAAGUUUACUUUCAUCGGAACUAAUAUUAUAUAUUGAUAUGACUUCCCAUUAUUACUUACGAUGGAAUAUGCUUCCAUAAAAUGGCCUAGAUGAACAAACUAUCCAAGAAGUUUGGGAUCAAAUAAUAUAUAUAUAGUUCAUGUGUGAUUCUUUGGUUGACAACCUUGUUAAGGGGUGAGUGAAGCACUUUGGGCAUACCACAUACUACAUGCUAGACUUCCACCCAAGCUACCCUAUAUUCCUUAUGAACAAAGUAGAAGUUGUCAUCUCUCUUGAAUACCAAAUCCUUUCACCUAAUAAUGCUAUCUAAAAAGGUCUUAAAAAGGAUAAAAAUGCGCAUAUUUGAAUUUUUGAAUUAGGAGUGCUACUUAAAAAGAAGCUAGAUAUACAAUAAUAGAAUGUUAUCAAGCAUAUCUCUUCAAAGUUUUUGACCAAAAAAUAUAUGAUUUCUCAUUUUAGGUAGGAGACUUAGUACUCACUAUUCAAAAACCAAUUAUCAUUACUCAUAAAAACUAAUAGAAAGUUUGGGCCAAAGUAGGAUGGACCUUAUAUUAUGCAACAAUUAUGCCUAUAAAAUUGUUGCAAAAGAGGUUUUAGAAUCAAAUCAAUGAAUGAAAAAUUAUUAAAGCAUUACUAUGCUUGAAGGCUAGUCAUUUUCCCUUAAAGUGCAAUAUUAAGUUGCAUAGUACUAUGUGGAUCCGCAUUUUUCACAUGCGUUCCCACUCAUUGUCGAGACUCACUUUUUAGAAGUGAAAAAUUAGUUUUAUUAAAGUCGAAGUUGCCACUGGGGAUUUGAACCCUAACAAAAGGUUCAAUUUAAGGAUAAAAAUAUCGAUAAUCACAUAUAUAUAUAUUGGUACUUUGAUUUUAUGAAUAUAUUGAAGAAAUAUGGACAAAUAUUUUGACACAAAAUAUGUACAAAAUAAAAAUUAUAUAAAAAGUAAAAAUAAAUAUUUUAAAAUUAUUUUUUUAAAUAUAUAUAUAUAUAAUUUGACAUAUUUGAUAAUAAUAUAUAAGGGUCUCCAAAAAGCCCGUGGCCCGCUUUAGGCCCGGUCCGACCCGACAGGCUAAAGCCCGGCCCAAGCCCGCCGGGCCCAAGCUCGGCCCGAGCCCGUUUAUGGGUGGGCCGGGCCGCGAGCCCGUAGGCCUGCUCCUUUAAAAAAAAACUACAAAAAUAAAAAGUAUUAAAAAAAAUAUUCAUUUCAAAAUUUUAUUCAUUGAAUGUAUAAUUACAUUUGAAAAUGUGGGAAAAGUUUACAUCACUACAAAAUAAAUACAUCCCAACUAGGUUGGCACCUAUUUAUUUGUCAAUCAUCUGUAUUUUUCAACCACAAAAAAUAAAAAUAAAAAUAUAAUAUACAUUUAGUCAUUAUUUUCUGGCGGUGAUGGCGAACUAUCAUGCAUCCAUGAAGAUCUUGAUAAUUUUAAAGAUUCCAUAUCGGUAAGCAUCUUUGUUUCUCGAAUGGAAUCAUACAUCCUUUUAUCUGCUAUUUCCCAAUCUUUCACACAUAUCCCUGCUUUAAUAACAUCUGACGCUAAGUUGCAUCGUUUUUUACUAACUACUCUUCCACCUGCACUAAAAGCAGCUUCUGAUGCAACUGUACUCACAGGAACUGUUAGUACAUCACGAGCAAUUAUAGAAAGCACAGGAUAUUUGUGUUGAUGUGAUUUCCACCAUAUUAAAAUAUUAAAAUCUUCUUGAUCUUCAAAUGAAAUUAUAUCAGUAUUAAGAUAUUUAUCUAAAUCAGAUGUAUUAUUUGGAGAAUUAUUUGUUGUCUUUUUUCGACUUUUCAACAUUUCUAGAGCUCCUUUAUAAAAAGAUGAGGAGUUUGUAGAUGUAGGUGGUAAUUUAAUAGUAUUAAUAUCAUUACCAUAUUUUUCUUUAUAAUAGUUAUAUAAAUUAUAUAAUAAUGAAUUUAUUUCAUUUUUAAUUUCUUCAAUUUUUAUUUGGUCAUUAAAAUAAAUAAUUGUUAACCAUUCAUCCAAAGCUUCAAAUUUCAAUCUAGGGUCCACAAUUAAAGCAAUAUAAAAAAUUAAAGGUAUUUCUCCCCAAUAUUUUCUAAAUUUUUAUAUCAUUACAAAUAUUGUAUCAUUAAAUAUUUCAAAACUUAAAUAUUUUUGAAGUACAAUAAAAAUAUUAGUUAUUUGCGUAAUAACUCGAUUUGAAGUUGGAUAAUAUACACCACAAAAAAUGUUUGUUGAAGUAUCAAAAAUUUCAAAAAGAUCUCUUAAAACAUCCGCAAUAUGCCAAUCAUAAUCAUUUAAUGCAUAAAUAUCUGCUUCAUAAUCAUUGUUAAUUAAUUGUAUUUCAUAUAAUUCGACUACUUUUCUAUAUUUUGUAAUAUUUUCUAAAAGUUUAUAUGUGGAAUUCCAUCUAAUAGCCAUAUCCAAAUUUAUAUUUUUUCUUUUCAUAUUUAACAUUUUGCAACAAUCAAAAAAUAAUUCAUGUUUUGCUUGAAAACUAUUAAUACUAUAUGCAAUGCCUCUAAUUUUUUUCCAAUGUACUAUCAACAUUUUUUAAUCCAUCCUUUACAAUUAAAUUUAAAAUAUGUGCACAACAACGCACAUGAAAUAUUUUAGCAUGAUCUUCUUUUACUUGCCAAUAUCGUUUUAGUCUAUGUAUUGCUGCAUCAUUAUUAGCAGCAUUAUCUAAUGUUAUUGUCAAUAUUUUAUCACGAAUGCCUAAAUCUAUAAUUUCAUCAUUUAUUAAAGAUGCUAUAUUUUUACCACUAUGUGGAGUAUUUAUUAAUUUAAAUAAAAUUAUUCUUUUAUUUAAUUUCCAUUCAUUAUCAAUGUAGUGAACAAUUAUAUAUAAAAAACCAGUAUGAGUUAAAGAUGUCCAAAUGUCAGAUGUUAAACGAAUAUUUCCUUCAAAAUUUGCAAAAUUUUUUUUUAAAAUUUCUUUUUGUGUAUAAAUUUUUUUCAUAAUAUCUCUUUUAACUGUAUUUCCAGAUCAACCUUUAAAUUGAGGAUUAAUACCUCGUUGAAUUGUUCUUGCAAAAUCAUGAGUUUCCAUCAUGUUGAAAGGUUGUUCUGCUCUUAUUAUAUAAUCAAUCAUUUCUUCACAACAGUUAGAUUCAUCAUAAGAAAAUGUUUUUAAAUUUCCACUUUCAUUUUUACUUAAUUGCAUAUAAUUUCUAAUAUCUACAUUAUUUUUAGUUUUACAAUUUUCAUGAUGUCUUUUUAAAUGACUUGUAUCUGCAUUUGAGCCACCAGUAAGAAAUUUAUUACAAAUUUUACAUUUUGCUUUUAUUUUUUUUUUAUUAUUUUCUAAAAUUAUUUCUAUUCUAUCAAAAAAAUUCCAUAUAUUUAAAGUAAAUUUUUUGUUUGAUGAUAUUUCAUCACAUGGACUAGACGAAGAAGCACUUGUCAUAUUAUAAUUAUUGAUAAAAUAUUAUGCCAAAAAUAAUAAAGUAAUAAAUAUAAAAAAAAAUGUAACAAAAAAAAUAAAGUAGUAGGGGUGAAGUAUGUUACUCAAUUAGAGAACCUAUGCAGAAAUUCCUAGCAAAUUUGAACUCUUGGAGCCACCAAUGCUUGUUUUGCACCAUCAACAAUAUUGUAUAAUUUGAGGGAAAAAUAAAAGAAUUUAAAAUAUUGUAGAAUGUGAGAGAAAUAGAGAGAAUUUGAUGAAAAAAUGAAAAGGAAGAAAAUGUAUUUAUAGGAAGGUUAAAAAUAAUAAUAAUAAUAAUAAUAAUAAUAAUAAUAAUAAUAAUAAUAAUAAUAAUAAUAAUAAUUGGCCAUGUGACCGUUGGAGGCUUAGCUCCAACGGUCACAUGGGCUGGAGCUAGGCUCCAACAGUCACAUGACCGUUGGAGCCUUUAAUUUUUUUUUUUAAAAUAAUAUACUUUAUUUUUAUAUAUAUAUAACUAACUCAAUUAAUAAACAUAAAAAGAAUAUAGUUCAGUUGGUUAGAACCUUGAAGUUUAAACAUGAGGGGAGGGGUUUGAAUCCCUCCCUCUCCCUUAGGGGCUUUUUUAAAAGCCAUUUUGGCUUAUUUCAAAAAGCCUGUCGGCCCGACCCGCCCUGCAGCCCGCGGGCCUAGCAUUUUAGCAUGGCCUGGUCUGUUGACUAGUCAAAUGGCUCAUAGGCUCGGCCCGAACUGGGCCGCGGGCCUCUUAUUUACGGACCGGCCCGACCCGGCCCGCCCGUUGGAGACCCUUGAUAAUAUCUUCUAUAUUAAGUUACAUUAUAGUUUAUUUUACAAUAUUAUUAUGAUAAUAUGUCUAAUUUUAAAAUAUAUUUAAUAUUAAAAUUAUGAUCUAUUUUAAUUUAAAUGUAUUCAAUGAUAUCAAAUAAAUAAUAAUAUAUGUAUAAUUCUUUUAUUAUUUAUAUUUAUUAUUUUUAAUAAAUAUAUAGAUUAUAUAAAAAAGACCGGAUAUAUCUUUUCAAAUUUUGUAUCGCUCUCCAAGGAUAUUAGAUGUAUGGGAAUUUGUAUUGCUAUCUACGGAUACGUUGAUAUAUGGGUGAUUUAUCAGGAUAAUUAGAAAUUCUAAUUAUGUAAGCAGGUACGGAGUUCUGUGUCGGUGCGAUCUUGUCGACAACAGCUCCAAAUUGUGCAUCUUGCUCAUAGAGAGUAGCGGAAUGCACCAAUCGUAGGCUCAGAGUACCACUGAGUCGUCUGGCAGAGACCCAACUGAAGGUGCCUGUGUUGUUCCUGAUCUGAUCAGGCUUCAAACUACAAGGUGGAAUACUGGUUCCCCUAUAUCAGAAGCUGGAGAUACCCACCCCAUAUGCUCGUCUGGAUGUGCUCCUACCCUUUGAAGCCUUCUUCCGAGUCAAGUCCGAAUUGAUAAGGCUAGUGAGUUCCCAACCAACUGUACUCAGCAUGCUGCCAGGUGGAGACCCUCCAUAUUUGAUGGCUUCCUAAUAUUAAAAUGCUGACCACUGGUCUUCAUGUUCCACAGGCUUAAUUGUGUCCUUUGCUGAAAGAAUGGAUAGUGAUCCAUUUUAACACAUGAUUCACGCCGUCUUUGCCAUUCUUCAUGGUCUAGCCCUUUUAUAUAUAUGCUUCCUGAACUGUUGCUAUUAAUAAAAUGUGGUAUCUAUCCCGUACACCUUCCUGAUGGCCAGCGAAUGCAGAAGCUACAGAAACGGUUCCAUCUUUUGCUUCCGCCACUUUGGCAUCCUCCAUGAUGAGAUCGAAGGUGAAUAAUCAUAUUCUGGGGAUUUAUGUCCUGGAUAUUCUCAGUAAUGCCCAAUUUCCUGGUGCCGGCCUCAUUUCCAUGGGAACUGAUGGAUAACUUAAGGCUUCUACCAUCUGCGUGGUUCGCUUCUAACACAGGAAACUUCACGGCUAAAAGCAAGAUACCAAGAACAUCAAGGCUGUGACAAAAAUUAGUAUUUUUAACUUGUAGGAAUUUGAAAGGCAACCAACCAUCUAGCUCUGUUCUUAAAGCUCCCAUAGGAGGAUCAGAGGCUGGAUUGCUCAAGAUGAACUCAUCCAUUGUUGCACUUAAAAAGAAUUGGCAUGAAUUGUGGCCGCUCUAAUAGGUUCCCUAAACCAUCAUCCAAGUGGGCUUGCGGAAGGUAGCGAGUUUAAAACACCUAGGGCGAUGAACAGUGGACUGUGAUGCUCACAAAAGAGAAAAGGAAGAAUUCAAUAAUUCCUAAGAAUCCAUUUGCCUGUCAUCCAAAUUUUUAUAUUCUCUUCAGUCUGACGCGUUAUGCCAUAUAUUAAAAAUAGCGGCUUCUUCCAAGCCGAGACAGACUGUGCAAAGUUCGCAAGGCCAAUCAUCACCAUAAUCUGAAGUUGGCCUCCUCAAUCGCAGCUUGUAUCCGAAUGCUCACUUCACGGGAUGGAUUGUAAUGAAAACUAAUCUCAGUCCCAGCUAUGGCAGCAUCCUCACUUGACAGCAUUUUCUGCAUAUUCUAGAACAAAGCAAUAAACCCUCAAAGGCUCCUUCGGAUCAGAGUUAGAAGACUGUCCCUCAGGAACGUGAACACUAUGGUGGUUCUGAUAAGCAGUGAUAUUGCAUUAGAGCCUUUUGGAACAAGAGGAUCUUUUCAGGUGGAAACUGUAAACUGCUUCAUGUUGGGCUGCAACCUUUUCUUCAAGCAAUACUUUCUUUCUGUAUCACGACUUAUGUUGCUUCCGGAGCCAUCCCGUGUGGACUGCCCUUCAGUGAAAGAAUAUGUGUGUUGACAUGUUGGAUUGUAAUCUUUGUUCCACUCUAAUGGCUUUUGGUCCUCCUCUUUCUCUUUAUGACAGAGAACCAUUUAGUGAUCCAUCUCUAUAUUGUAGCAUUGCUGGUGCUUUGCAAUACUACACUCUCACCAAGCAUAACAUCUAUUUUUCCGUGACCAAAGUAUGUCGGUUUAUGCAUGCGCAAACUCUUAUUCAUUGGCAAGUUGUCAAGCGUAUCUCAUGAUUUCCCAAAGCCACAAGUUCUUAUGGUCUUUCUGUUCAAGCUUACAAUGAUCUAUCUUUUCUUGGUUAUACUGAUGUCGAUUGGGCUAGUUGCCCUGAUAACAAGCACAAUACUAGUGGGUACAACACUUUUCCUGGUCCUAAUCUCAUUUCAUGGGCAUUUUCAAAGCAGAAGGUUGUGUCUCACUCCAAUAACGAAUCUGAAUAUAGGGGACUCACUAAUUAAUGUUGUUGCCAAGGUCACUUGGAUUGAAUCUGUCUUACGUGAGUUGCGUGUUUCUCUACCCCAACCACCAAUUUUGUUGUGUGACAACAUUAGUGCUACACACUUGGACAAACCAUGUUGAAAUACACUAUCAUUUUAUCCAUGAAAGGCUUAUGCAUCACACACUCAAAAUUCAAUACACCUCUUCUAUAGACCAACUAGUCAAUGCUAUGACCAAAGCUCUUCCUUCAUCUCACUUGUACAAUCUUCAGUGCAAGCUGAUUGUUCUUCCCAAACCACUCAACUUGAGGGGAGAUGUUAAGCCAAUUUAAUAAAUUGAUUUCUUUUGGUUAAUUUGUUAGAAUCAUUUUUAUUAGAGGUUUGUUUGUACAAUUACAUCCAUUUAUCAGGAGAGUACACGUGUACAACUCCUCUUUUAAUCUCACCAUUGUAUAUAUAUGAUACACGACCUUACUCAGAAUUGCAUAACAUUUCCUCUGCUCAUUCCUUUUCUUCUUUGAAUUUUCCCUUACCUCACUGAUUUUGAUUUAUACCUGGUGUUUUCACCUUUGGUCUCUACCUUUCUAGCCAGUUUUCUAAUUAAUCCGUAUAUGGUAUACCUGUCAACUAAUGAGGAGAAAGAGAAAAGGGGAUUGCUGUUCCACCAGCUACAUAUAAUAAUUAAUUACAAUCAUGGUAAUGGAUCCUGAAAUCCAUCCUUUGUGGAUUUUGUACGGAAUAUUGUUGUUAUGUAUGUGGGCUCACUUAGAUGUAUAUUGCUAGCCUGUCUGGGAAAUGUGAUUGCAGGUCCAGAUUAUGAUGUUGAUAUUAGUGGGAUAAGCAAGAGAUGCAGUUAACACGUAUGUGAUGGACUUGAGUAACUUUUCCAUUUCAGUCCAUUUUUUAAGAUUAUGCUUAGUCUUAUUACAAGGAAAGACCAUAAGAAUCAUGAGUCAUUGGCAAGGUAAUAUCAUUCCCUCUUUACAGGCUUCUUCACCUUUUGGUUUUUUUAAUAUCCAUCAAGAUCUUUUAAUUGGAGGACAAUUACAAGUAUAUAUAUAUGUAUUAAAAGGGGAAAAUAUUAAAACAGGAAAUUUUAGGGAAAAUAUAAUAAUUAUUUCUUCCUUCUUUCCCAUAUAGAACUACACAAAAUAAAACUUUAAUAAUUUUUUCUUAUCUUUUUUAUUAUUAUUUUUUCUUAGAAACAUCCGUGGUCUCACAAGCUUGUAAUCCUAGAUUGUUAGGCUCCUUUAACAGUGCCCCAACAUCGUGGUCCAAUGACAAGCUUCCACGCCUUAAAAUCAGAAAAUGCCAUUAAACUUUAUCAGACAUUACAGUUCAAGACAAAGCUUUCAUUUGCUUAAUGUGAUAAUGAAAUUGUUAAUUUCAUUUCGUGGGCAUCUAAAUUUGGACGAGCAAGACCUCUGAAUUCCCUGUUUUUAUCACCAGCAGAGGAGAUAAAAUCUUAAUGGUGAGAAUCUCCACGUGAAAUUUAUGUGUACUGUCAACAUAUUUUUGUUUAUAUAGUCCAGUAGCUGCAGGAAGUCUAGAUUAUAUAGGUAGCAGUAGCACUAUUUAUAGCACUCGAUAUUCGCUGUAUGAAUACAUUAAACCUUGUUUUCAAUACGCAUCACAAGCAAGUACUAGAUACUACAAGGAGUGACAGUCGCAUCAACAUUUCUUGAUAAUAGCAGUGACUGAUUUAUACACAGAACAGUACUGUACACGUACCAGUCACCAGAGAUAGGAUCUUAUUCCUACAUACGACUCUUAUUGAUCGAAGUCACUCAGUUGGGGUAGCCUGGAGUUGGAGGUUUGUGUGGUGGCUUCUUCUUUGGAGGAGGCUUUAUCUUUGGAGGCAUCAUCUUUGGAGGCAUCUUGUGUGAGUCUUCUUCAGCAUUCUCUACAGGAGGAUGGCCAGGCUUAUGACCCUUAGGUGGUUUGCCAACUGGGAUUGGUGGCUUGUGUCCUGAGAGUGGCUCCUCUUCUUCGGGAGGUUUGCCAACUGACGUUGGUGGCCCGUGUCCUGGGGGUGGCUUGUGUUUUGGGGGUGGUUUCACUCCACCGGGAGGUUUACCAAUUGGUGUUGGUGGUUUGUGCUCAAUCGGUGGCCUCUCAACUGGGGGGCGCUUGGGGUAAUCAGCGAGUGAAGAAGUGGUGAGAACCACCACUCCAAGCAACAACACUAGCAAGUAUGUGGAAGACAUCUUUGAGUUUGGCUCAGAUGGUGUAGAACUAGAAUCCUGGGUGGCCUUUUAUAUUAGUUGGGCCCUAUGCCCGAACGACAAGUGUCAUGGUGACACAUAAAGUGAUGGGGUCGAUUUGGGCCUACCGGAUUUGAAAACUUGGACAAUUCGAGAAGCGUCUCCUGACUCCGGGUUGUAAAGUGAAAGAUUAGGUAUCGACCAUUGAAGUAUGAUCACAACUUUUGGCCUUUGGCUCUCUCUACUGCCGUAUAGCUUUUUUCCUUUGGAUAUUUUUCUUAGCUAGACACAAUUAUUGAGCAGUCUAAUCUCGAAAUGGGAUUAGUAUAGCUUUAAGCAAAUUUAUUAUAGUUAGUGGAGGACUUUUAAGAGUGCAGACGACAUUUAACACAUGCAUGCAGUAGUAUAGGGGACAUAACACUAUUCUUUUUCCAAAGAUUCACAUGAUUUUUAUAUUAUAGUAUUGGCACAUUGUAUGUAGCUGGUUUUGUGGUUAAAAUUCCAUAUGUAGACACUGGCGUUUCUCCAUUUCUCACAAUUGAUGUUUACCUCCACGAUUACUAGAUUAGAUAUACCAAACAAUAACACAUUGUAUAAUCUAUCCGCCCUUCAAAAUCUACUGUAUGAUGAAAUGUUUCAUGUGUGUGUGAAGUGUUAGAAAUGCACUAUAGGCAACAUCAUCUUCUUUUGUCUAGGCUUGGGCCUCAAAUUAUACUCCCAUGCCAUGAUAAAUUUUCAUGUGCAUUCUCUAAAGAAGAGUGUCUUGAAUGUGCCAAAUCAUUUUGAUUGAUUUUAUGAUGUUAAUUGCUCCGCAUAUGGAUGGGUAUGUGCUUUAUUUGCUUAUUCAAUCCACAAUUACCUUGAACUGAAGUCCUAUUGGAGCUCUAUUAUUUUAGCAACGUCCUGUCAAAUAGGCUGCUAACUUGGGGUGGUAUGGACCCAAUGAUCCAUCUUAAUCUUGGGUUGAUUUUGUCUGACUCUAUCUAUCUCAGAGAGAACCAGGAUCACCAGUGCUGGUCUGCUUAAAGAAGACUCAGUACUGGAUUAAUAUUGGUUUGGGUCAAUAGCUUAUAAUGCAUUGAAUGCAGAAUAAACAAGAUCAAUGAAACCCAAAACACACUGCCCACACAACUUCACUCUGGUGUCUGUUAUUCAUCAAUUCUAUUCCCACAUGAACUGGUUCAAGUUUAAGAAAAUGACAACGGAUCCACUGUAUUAACUUGGUUUUGCUUGGUUUUGAGCUAGUUGCCAAACCAGCCAUGAGUUUUACCUCUAAUGUCAAUGAACAAACCCCAAAUGAACAACUGCAACAGCUUAAAGAGAAGGAAUGGAGAUGAAAAUCCCUGUUUCUUCUCAUUCUGGGGACAAAUUAGAACAUAACUACAAAGGUUCUAUUAAUUGACUUACUCUACCAUGAAUUAUGGUUCUUUGGUUUUCCAAAUUUAAAUUGUACAUGAGAUUAUUUUUUUCCUUUAUAUAUAAACAUAUUAAGGUUUUCUUAUUUCGUGGGCAAAUGCGCUAAGGAUGAAAGUCAUUUCAUUUGGCUGCAACAGCAUCUUAUAAUCAACAUGCAUAAGCAGCAGUUUUAAUUGAUCGAUUGAACACCGACUCACAAGAAUAGAUAGAAUGGUACAAGACAGCUCUUAUUAAUUUAUACUCGUUACUCAUUUUAUGUAGCCCCAUUAAGAUGGCUGGCUGGACCACCGAGGUCUGGGGGUGGUGUUGCUUGUGUGAUGCAGCGGGCCGGGCAGACACUUCUCUAGUUGCUUCUAUUUGGAGUUAGAGGAUCAGUCUCUGCCAACCUUGAGGACUCUCUACCUCAGAGGGUCCAGGUGGUGGACUCUGGUGUCGGUAGCUUUGAACUCUCAGUAGACUAGUGUGUCUUAAUCAGUCACUGCCAGAGGCUGGCGUAGGCAGUGACGAUAAGGUGAGACAAAUUACCGAAUAGUCAAUAUCGACUGCACUUGACCAUUAUAGAUUUGUUCUGACAAAAGUGAGAAAAGGGAGAAAAUCGGAUGUUGACCUUUAUAGAAAAAGAUAAGAUUUACUGCAACACAGAGCACUGAUUUGUUACUUGGAAACCAAGUUAUGCUAUUAGCUAGCCUCCAUUAGCAGCAGGGUACCUUGCUGCCUGAUCCUAAUCUGAGUUCCCAAGGUUUCAAUCUUCGUUUGUUAACGCUUCAGGAUUUGGAUAUUUCAGCUUCGUUUCUCCAUUUAGCCAACGCUGCCUGGUUUGGAUUUCAAUCCUCAUCUGGAACAUUCUUUUUUCGGUCUGAUUCAGGAAGUGUUUGGUGAUAGUUGAUUAAAAUUAAACAGUACUAUCAUACAAAUAAAGCUGAUCUAAUUUUGGUGGGCAAUAUACCAACUCAUUUAUUCUUGAAAACACCAUGGGGAAUUGGAGGUCCAUCCGAAGUACUAUUUGAUGGGACUCACAAAAAGAACAGGUGCACAUUUAUGAGAUCCGUGGAAGAGAUAACUAUGACAGCUAUGCAUGUACAACAGAUUUAUGUCGAGUUCACCUCGUAGAUAUUUUGUUUUCAGUGUCGGUGGACCCCAAAAUGGAAAUCGGAAAUUAAGGUUAUAUUUAUUUUUUUAUUUAAUUUUAAAUAGAAUUUUAAUUUUUAAUAAUAUUAAGUAUUAAAUUAUUUUUUUAAGGGUAUUUUAUUUUUAUUAAGUAUUAAAAAGUAAAAAAAAUUAAUAUGUUGCUUUUUUAUUUUAAAAAAAUUAUAUAUUUUAAUUUUUUCUAUUUACUAAAAAGUUUAUAAUAAAUUAUAAAAAAAUAAAAAAAUAAAAAACUUAAAUUCUGAAAAUAAAUUAUUUUUAAUAAAAAAAUCCAAAAAAGCAAACACCACCUAAAUUUGAGAUGACUCAAAAUUUUAUAUUUUUUUUCACCUAAAUUAUAUUCAUAAAUUUAAAAUUAAAAAAUUAGGAAGUUGAAUUUUAUUUUGGAUAAUUGGAAACUACAAGAAAUCAAUAAAAAUAUUUGGAAAAAAAAGAAAAAGAAAAACUAUCUAUAUAUUCACCCCCUUCUAAGAAACAUAACUUUAGUUUUUAACUAUUUUUUAAAAUAAUUUUUGAAAAAUGUUAUAUAAUAUUUUAUAAAACAAAAAAUCUGUUUGACAAUUUGAUAUGUCUUUAACUUAUUUUUAAUAUUUAUAUAUAUAUAUUUUAAAAAUAAUUUUAUAUUUAGAACUUUAUCUUUAAUUAUUAUAUAUAUUUAUAUAAUUAUUUUUUUUAAAACAACUCUUAAAAAAUAAGUGAAAGUAAUUGAAAACAACUCAAAGAUAUUUGAUGAAAACACUCUAAUUUGUAUUUUUGAGAAUAAAAAAAUAAAUAAAUAAAUUUCUAGUUAUCAAAUGUAUUUUUUAAUUCUUUUAUUCUAAAAAAUAGAAAAUCGUUUUUGAAAAUAAUUAUUAAACAACAUUCUUAAAAAUUCACUCGUUACAAUCUAGAUUUAAUGCAAGAAUGAUUGAAGGAGUCCUCCAAUAGAACCCAAAGUUAUAAACAUGAACAAGAAGCCCUAGAAACACCAAAGAUCUCAUAUGGUAUAUAUAUGAGCUUGAUUGAGAACUGUUUUAAAUUCAGUUUUUUUUUUUUUUUUUUUUUUUUGUUUUCAAAGUCAAAACAAGUUUACUUUUAAUUUUUACUUCUUUUUUUUAAUUUUAUAAAUAACAGUUUUUUAAUAAUUUAUUUUGAAAACAUGAUUAUUUUUAAAACUUAUAAUGAAAAUAGGAAUUUUUUUUUUAAUAUCAUGGUUAUUUUCCCUUCUUUUAAGGAGGGCUAUUUUAAAAAUAAAUUUACAAAUAUGAAAAAUGAUUCAAACUAAAGCAGUACAAAUAAAAAACAUUUUUAAGAAAUAUUUAAAAAUAGAGAAAAUUAUUUGAGAACAUUUGAAGUCCUUAAAUAGACUUUUGUUUUAGAAAAGGCAAGAUAAUUAUUUUUGAAAAUUGUUUUCAUAAUGAUAUGCAAAAACCUACGUAAAAACCAUAAUUAUAAUCGGCCACAUAUCAAAUCUACUAAAUAUGAAAAGUAAGUACAUAAUUAUAUUUGACUUAGAUGCAAGGAGGAAAAUGUCGCGAUAUUAUCGCCGAAAUAUCGUGUGUCGAAGGGUAUCGACACGAUUUUUCUUGCAGAAAUAUCGGCCAGUCGAUUUUUCGGGAUAAAUCUCGAGAAAUCGGCAAUUUAUCGCGAUAUAUCGGCGAUUUUUCCUCGAUAUAUCUUCUGGUCAACGCGGGUCAACGGAGUCAACACGCUACAGUGAAAGUCAAAUGUGCUACAAUGUCCCCGCUACAAUCACCUCCCCAAACAAAUUGCCAAAUUGCUUCCGAGGGGAUUUGAACCAGCCUUCUUGCCAUUUGGGCUAACUCGCCCUUAUGAUAUAUAUUGCAUUAAACAUAUAUAUACUUAAAGUCCUUAUAUAAAGAAAAUGUUAAAAAAAUAUUUUAAAGAGCAAAUUAAUUAUAAUUAUUUUAUAAUUAAAAGCAAAAUUUUCUUUUAAUUAAUUACCAAAAAUAUAAAAAUUAUAUAAUUUUCUUCAUAAUGUUUUUAAUAUCAUUAAUAAUUAAUUAAAUAUUAAAAAAUUAUAUAUAUAUAUAUAUAUAUAUAUAUAUAUAUUAUAAUUUAUUUUAUAUUGUUUAAUACAAUUGAAUUAAAUGGAUCAUAUUUUAAUAUUAAUAUAUAUUUUAAAAUUAGACAUAUUGUAAUCAAAUAUCAUAAUAUUAUAUGUAAUUUAAUAAUAAAUGUACACUUAUAAAAUUCAUAUUUUUAUCGAUGCAUACAAUAUUAUUAUCAAAUAUGAUAAAUCAUGUUAUACAUAUAUCAAAAUUUUCAAUAAAAUAACUUUAAAAUGUCUAUUAUACUUCUAAUUAUAUUAUUAUGAGGUUUUCUUUACAUUUUCAUGAGUUUUAAACAAUUUUAAGCACCAAUAUUUUUUUCCAAAAUAUCCACCGAUAUAUCUCCGAUAUAUCCAAUAUAUCUCCGAUAUCUCCGAUAUAUCCGUAAAAUCGAAGUACCGAUAUAUCCGUGAUUACCGAUAUUUUCAUCAUUGCUUAGAUGCAACCUUCUUCCAAAUGACAUACUUUAGUCAAUACUUAUAUUUUUUCGUUUCACUUCUUUGAUACAACACCUCAUGGAUUUAUUGUUUAAUUUAUUUGUAAUUAUAAAACUAUUUUUCAUUUUUAAUAAGACUUGAAUUAAUUUAAUAAAUAUUAUAUAAUUUGAAUUUAUAAUUCUUUUUAUAAAAUCAAAGUAUAUUAAAAAAAAAACAAUUUAUCCGAAGAAAGUUUUUUAUUUUUUAUUUUUUAAAACCGAUUUUAAAAAUAACUAGCUAGACACCCUUAUUUUGAUAAAAUACGAAAUAAAAGUGUAAAAACAACAUGGCCAAAUAGGGGCUUAAAUUUUAUUUUUAAAACAUUUUUUUACACUAAAGUGCAUUUUAAAAACACCAUCAAAACCAACUACAAGUUAUGCUUCUUCCCGUAAUAGAAAUAUUUUAGGCCAAAAUAGAACCUCCCCAAAUAAAGACCCUAUACUAAACUCCUUUUCAUUUUAUUAAUACAAAAGUGGGGAAAAAAGGUCUAUGCUCACCUAAAAAACAUGAAUAUUGUGAAUUCACCAUUUCUAUAAGGAAGUUGAAAACUUCAAAAUUUUAUCAACAAAUUCUCUAAAAUCCUCAAAAUAUAUAGGGCCUGUUUCACAAAGUUUUUUAAAAUUUGUUUUUAUAAAUUGCUUUUAAAAUAUAGAAUAAAUAACAGUUUUUUAGAUUUUUUGAAAAAUAAGAGUGUUUGGUAAGAUGUUUUUUUUUUUUUUUUUUUUUUUAAGAAUUAAAUAAAAAAUAAAAAAAUUGUUUAGAUAAAAGAAUUUGUAUUGUUUUUAAAAACAAUGUCUUACUUUUAUGUUAUAAAAAUUUUAUUAAUUUAAUUUAUAAUAAUAUGAAAUGAAAUUCAAGUUAAGUCUUAUUAAAAAAUACAAAUUAAAUCUAUAAUUAUGCAUGAGUUAAAGAUAAAUAUAUAUUUUUUAAAACUAUAAAAUAAAUUUUCUAUUAUAGUGAAACAAAAAUUACUAUAAAAUAAAAAUAAUUUUAAUAUUCAUUUUUAAUACAAGUCAAAUAAGUACUUUAAUUAAUUUUUUUUAUCAUGAUUUCUUAUGUUUUUUUUUUUUUCUAGAAAUUAUUUUAAGUAAUAUAACUAAUUUUUUUUUUAAUGUUUUAUAAAAAUAAGGAUAUUUGGCAAGUUGUUUUUAUAAAAGGAUUUUAAAAAUAAAUGGAUUUUUUUUUUUUUUAAAAAAAGAACAAAAUGAUUUGUUUGAAUAAAUUGUUUUGAUUUUGUAAAAACAUUUUAAAUUCAAUUUAUAUAAUAUUAAUUAAUUAAAUUAAAUUGAAGUUUUAUUGAAAAUAAAAAUAAUUUUGUAAUUAAAAUUAGAUUAAAAAAUAUAUAGGUUUUAAUAAAUCGUAAAUAGUAAUAUUAUAAUAAAAUUAUAAAUUAUAUUUUUAACAUAAAAUAUACUAUUUAUUACAUAUUAAAAAAAAUAUUUUAUUAUAUUAAUAAUUUUAUGGUAUUAAUGAGUUUAUUAUUUAAGUUUUAAAUUAUUUUUAAAAAUUAAUAAAUUUGUUAACAAAUGCAAUGUACUAAAUGUGGUUUAAUUUGGAGUUAAUUUGUUUAGGGAAAAAAAUAAAAAAUAAAAAUCUUAUGUAAAAGAGAAAUAAUAGAGUGUGUGUGUUUUUUUUUAUUAUUUUUAAAAAUCAGUAAAAAGAACUUUUACUUAUUGCCUAAAAAUUAUUCUCUAUUUUAUUUUAUUUUUUAAAUCUAGAAAUAGAUAACAAUAAUAAAAAAAAUUAAAAAAGAAAAAUGUUUUUUAAAACUCAGACUUAUAAUUGCUUUUGUUUCUCAUUCGCACCCCUGGAUUCCUGGAUUCUAAACACAAAAUUAAGUUGAAUCGUCCAUCUAUCUUGUAAGCCAAGAAUUCACAUAGAAGAAAUAAUCGGAAUUUGAUUUGAUAUCAGAUUUAGAGUGGCUCACUACUCAUGCAUUGUCCCACAAUAGUAAUGCUUUGGGCCGAGAUAAACCCAUUUGUGGGCCCAAAUAAAACCCCUGGUUUGAAAACAUCGAUUUUACAGUGGCCCAAAAGAUUAUCUAUGAGGGGAAGAUAACUUGGAAGUCAAGCAAACACAUUUAUCGCUAACUUUUCUCUAAUUAUAAAAUUAUAACUUGGUCUUCUACACGUCUCACUUAAGAGGCGGAGCCACUUGGCACUACCUUUCCAUAUUGUAAAAGGAGAAGAAGCAGAAGGAGAAGAUUCUUAUGCCAUUCCACACACCAUGGCUAGUACUGCUAUGCUGCUUGGCCCGCCGGCUCUCCGCCAUCCUAAUUCUCCCGCCGGCACUGUCUUUGAAGAUGGGGUCAUUCUAACGGAUUCCCUGAUCGUCCGCACCAGUAAUCUGGAGCUUUCUGAAAAACCGCCACUGGAAUCCCUGGCGUAGUGCUCUGUCAGUGGGGAUAUUGCUAUGGAUUGUUUGGAUUCCCAAGCCCACAAUCUUCAUCUUCCCGGGAAACCGCCGAUGGGCUUAACGGAAAACAAGUCUCCGACCUUUUUGUCUUCCGGGAACCCGUGCUUGGACUUCUUCUUCCAUGUGGUUCCCGAUACGUCGUCUGAUGAUCUGAUCCGACGGUUUGAGUUGGCUUGGGAAUUCAAUCCGCUGACGACGUUAAAACUGAUAUGCAACUUGAGAGAGGUGAGAGGCACCGGAAAAUCUGACAAAGAGGGUUUCUACACGGCGGUUCUCUGGCUCCACGACCACCAUCCCAAAACCCUAGCCUGCAAUGCUAGGGUGUUGGCCAGCUUCGGUUAUUUCAAGGAUUUUCUCGAGAUUCUCUACCGGCUUCUGGAGGGCCCUAAAAUUCGAAGAAUCGAAAAGAAAGACUGGCUGGAUCGAAAAGGAAGGAAGAAAAAUUCCCGGAAAAGGAACUCAAUAUUCAAGCGAGAAAAUAGGCCUGGAGUUGAAUUUCCUGUAGAAGAGAAGGAUGUGGAGUAUAUGGUGGAAGAAUUUGUGGAUAAAGAAAAGGCUAGGGUACUGAGAAAGGAGAGAGAACUUGCUCUUGCCAAAAGAGCCCUGCACAAGUAUUCUACUGAUUCUAAUUAUCAGUUCUUACAUGAUCAGAUUUCAGAUUUAUUUGCUGAACUUCUGAAAUCUGAUAUUCAGUAUUUAAACUCCGGUGAGCUUUACAAGAUUAGUCUCGCAUCCAAAUGGUGUCCCACAAUUGAUUCUUCUUAUGAUAAAUCCACCUUGAUAUGUGAAAAUAUUGCUCGAAAGGUUUAUUCUCGCGAGGAAUAUAUAUCCAGAAUACCAAGGAAUUGAGGAGGCUCACUAUGUUAAUAGAGUCAGGGAUAGGUUGAGAAAACAAGUACUUGUUCCAUUACGUAAGGCCCUGGAGUUGCCAGAGGUUUUCAUGUGUUCGAACCAGUGGGGAUCACUUCCCUACAACCGUGUGGCUUCAGUGGCCAUGAAAUCAUACAAGAGCCUCUUCUCAAAACAUGAUACAGAGCGGUUUGGUGUGUAUCUUGAGAAAGUGCAAACUGGGAAGGCUAAGAUUGCAGCUGGUGCAUUACUUCCCCAUGAGAUUAUAGCUUCAUUGAAUGAGGAGGAUGGCGAGAAAGUUGCAGAGCUUCAGUGGGCGAGAAUGGUGGAAGAUUUAUCAAAGAAUGGGAGGCUCACAAAUUGCAGUGCGGUAUGUGACGUAUCAGGAAGUAUGAGUGGAACUCCAAUGAAGGUGUGUGUGGCUCUGGGGCUGUUAGUUUCAGAGCUCAGUGAAGAUCCAUGGAAAGGUAAUGUAAUUACUUUCAGUGCAAGUCCUGAGCUUCACAAGAUCCAAGGAGACAGCCUUGUAUCCAAGACUGAAUUUGUGAGGAUGAUGGAAUGGGGUGCGAACACUGAUUUUCAGAAAGUUUUUGACAGAAUCUUACAAGUAGCAGUGGAGGGAAAUCUGAGUGAAGAUCAAAUGAUAAAGAGGGUUUUCGUUUUCACUGAUAUGGAGUUUGAUGAAGCUUGUGGGAGGUAUAACUAUUGUGAAUAUGACUAUGAUAUGGAGGAAAUUGAUGAGAGUCAGAAGGCAUCUCAGAAGUGGGAGACAGAUUAUGAAGUGAUACAGCGGAAAUUCCAGGACAAAGGAUAUGGAAAAGUUCCGGAGAUAGUGUUUUGGAACCUUAGAAACUCAUCAGAGACUCCAGUGAUGGCCACAGAGAACGGGGUGGCCUUAGUAAGCGGGUUUUCGAAGAAUCUGUUAGACCUUGUUUUUGGAAGGAGGUGGAAUUCUGACCCCUCAGGAUGUGAUGGAAUUAGCCAUCUCUGGUGAAGAUUACAAGAAACUUGUUCUAUUUGAUUAAGAUAUCAAGAGAUUUAUCAAUAAUAAUAUGUUUUUUUUUUUCUAUGUGAAAUACAUGUAAUAUUAACUAUGGAGUUAUCAAAGUUCUGGAAAUUUAAUUAUUUCUUCUUUUCAAGUUUUGUUUGUCUUUGUUAGGAAUUCCCCUUGGGCGGACCCAGCUGGGGACUUGGAUUGAGGAAGUAAGGAGGCGAAAUUGUGUUCUUCUAUGGACAGAGAAAAAAGAUAAAAAUAAAAAAUAAAAAAGGAGGUUAUUUGCAUUUGGAUGUCAUGUGGUUUCAGGGUACAACUACAAGUUCGAAAUUGUACAUAAUGUGAAAAUUCCUGUGUGGAGAACAGCAUAAAUAUGUAUCUCAGUGUGUUUUGUUUGAGCUAAUUGGCAAAUUCGCUUUAAACAUGGUCACAUGGAUGCAUAUUUAUUUGUGAAAUGAUAGUAGUCGAUUACUUGGUCAGUAAGGUUUGUAUCUCUAACUCCAACAUCUUAUUGUAGUCUUUUAAAAUGUCAAAAGUUUAAUGCUAGCUUGAGAAAUUUUGGAAUGGAGACAUUCUAAACAAAGUUAAUAAUCCAUGAGACUUGGUAAAACCGAUCAGAUGAUGCUUACGUACAUGAAUGCCUUCUUUAAGCCGUAUCCUAUUUUCAUUGAAUGAGACGUGCCAUCUAGUUUUGUUCUUGUCUUGAUUGGAUCAUGAUCCCGGGAAUUGAUUACUGUUCUGAAUUUGCGAAUGUUCAAGGUAUUAGAGAAAGUUAAUAUUAUCGUUAAUUUACAUAUUAGUAUUUAUCUAGUUAUUAUAUAUUAGUUUGAAUUAUAAUAUAAUAUAGAAUUUGAAUCAAGUUUACUAUUAGUUUGAAUUACAAUAGGAAAUAAAGUUUGAAUUAUAGUAUAACUCAAAUAUAUUUGUAUAUAAAUAUCCAUCUUUAUCAAUGAGAAUAGUAAACCAUAUUUUUCUCUAUCUUCUUCUUUCUCUAUAUAUAUGGUAUCAAAGCCUCCAAAUCCUAAACCUAGUCUCAACUUAGAGCAAAUUUAGGGUGCAGGGUUUAGGCCCCGCCUCCCCCAACCCUUACCACAAAUGGUAGUGACCUUGUUAUGCCUAUGUAUUGUCAAUGCCUCAUUUUCUAUGGUCUUCAAUACAAUAUCUAGUUUCAAUGUCUCUUUCCUUACUAUCUCCAAUGCAAUAUAUUGAUUUCAAUAUCUCUUUACAACCAAGAGCUCCAAAUUUUCCUGGUUCAAAUCUACCAUAAUUUUUAUUCUCCUUUGCUUUUUACCAAUAUUAGUUCCCCUAAUUUAAUAUAUAUCUCUUUAUUACCUUCAACUCUACCUCUCUCUUUCUUUAAAAGCUUCCUCAAAGAUUUGAUUGCUUUCUUGCAUGUUUUGGGAAAACAAACAUGCUCAUAUUCUAUUACCUCUACUUGAGAUCUGCCUUAUACUCUACCUUCUUCUUUACCUCCUAUAUCAUCUACUACAUUAGCUUCAAAAACAUUAUUUAGUUUGAUGCUAAAUAAGGCUCCUAAUCCUACCCUUCCUUCAACUAACUUUCUUUUACAAGUCCCUCAAAGUUUUUUUUUUUUUUUUUUUGGAAAUUUGGCUUAGAAAGAUUUCAUUACUCUUACCUAAUCUUUCAACCAUCAAGUCGAAUCCACUUAUCUCUUGAAUCCAAGGAGACUACCCUCCACAAAAACAAGGAGAUUGACCCCCACAAUAACAAAGAGAUUGUCCUCCAUAGAAACAAAGAGAGCUUCCUUCAUGGAAGCCGAAUACAUCGCAAUCUAUUUUCUUUCUCUCAAGAUCAAAUCUCCAAUCGGAGCUCCAUCUUGUGGGGAUAUAUUAGAAAAAGUUAAUAUUAUCCUUAAUUUACAUAUUAGUAUUUAUCUAUAUUAUAUAUUGAAUUAGAAUAGAAUAUAGAAUUUGAAUUAAGUUUACUAUUAGUUUAAAUUACAAUAGGAAAUAGAGUUUGAAUUAUAGUAGAACUCAAAUAUAUUUAUAUAUAAAUAUCCAUCAUUAUCAAUGAGAAUAGUAUUCCAUAUUUUUCUCUUUCCCUGAGGCUUCAGAAUGUGAUCUUGAACAUUUGAUCUUUUGGAUUCUUCUUGUUUCGGUGGUUUAAUAUAAUGGAAUGUUUAAUUAUAGCCUACUUUAUCACCAUGGAUGUGCUCCUGCAGAUUUCUUGAGGGUGAUGGUUAUUUUGUCAUGUUUCUUGAAUGGUUUGCAUCAGCUGCCUGAGCUGUUGUUGCUGGUCACUUUUGCAACCAGGGAAAGAAUCAUGGCUUUGGAGAAGCCAGCUUCUGUUUUUGUUGCCCAGCUGUUAGUUCACUAAGAUUGGGGGUCCUAACAUGUAUGUAUAAUCAUAAGCAAGGAAAUUUUAUGUCUUACGCUAGAUAGGUACCAUGAUAUGAUGUUUGAUUGAUUUAUUAACUCUACCUGUUUCAAAAGGCAUCAACAUUAAUUUUACCCUUUUAACACAUUGGAUUGUUUGACCUUACGAGAUUUUCUAUUUCUGUACUAUUUGAACUGCAAUCGUUAUGGUCCUUAGGUCUCUAAACCUUCGUUUAAAAUAAAAGUAAGGAGCACACAUAGUAAAAGUUAAUUUUGGGUAACUUUUAAAACAAAGAGAAAAGUAAAAGUUGUUUUUGAGAAAAACAUAUAGAAAUUGAAAGAUUUUUUAUUUUGAGAAAAAAAAGUCAUAGAAAAGAAAUAAUAUCCCCAUAUAAGUAGAUAUGAUCUAUCCGAAGUGUAGCUACUCUCCUGGAUUUAUUCUAACAUUUUAAAAUUUUUCUCAAUGGGCAAAGGAAUAUCAAAUCAAGCUUGAGUAGGAUUAAUUUCUUAAUUUUUAAAAUAACUUAUAAUUAAAAUUUUUUGGUGUUUUCUUUUUUGGACAAUUUUUUAUGAAGACUCUGAAUCAUGCAAGAGAUAUGGUUAUUUUAAAAAAAAAAAUAAUUUAAAACUCAAAUACAUAAUCAAUGUCACAAAUUUAUAAACAAAAGGUUUUUAAAAAAUACUAUUAUUUCCCCUCUACACAUAAUUUUACUUUUCCGAUUUAUUUAUUUUUGUUGGAAAACAGUCUUCAAAUCAAGUAAAAUUAAUAUGUUAAAUUUGUUAAACAAAUAAAUUUUAAAAUACAAUUUGGAACUCAAAAAUCAAUUCAAGUAAUGCUAAAAUUCAAAAAAUCAAAUUUGGAAUAAAAUGACUUUGUAAAUUUUUUUACUAAACAAAUGAAUUUUAAAUCAAGUGAGAUUUAAUACAUUGGAUUUUUAUGAGAAUAGUAAUUUUAAAAAUUAAUUUGGAACUCAAAAAUAGACACAAUAAAUACCAAAAAUCAAUGAACCAAAAUUGGUUUGGAAUAACUCCAUAAUUUUUUAUUUAUUUAUAUAUUUAUUUUUUUGUGCACACGAAUUUCUUACUAAGCAUAUUGCUUCCAAAUUGAGAAAAAUUUACUAUUUAGAUUUUUUUAAUGAGUUUAAUGGUAUUUAAAAAUAAUUCAAAAAUUCGAAAAUUGACUAAUUUAAUAUUAUAAAUUCAUAAACCAAGACUAAUUCAAAAUGCAUUGGGGGCUAAGGGGGUUGAAAUUAAUGCUCCAUUUGGUUGUGGCCACCAAUUGGCAAUGGCCACCAAUCAACCAAUCAAGGUGGCUAAGGGGGUUGAAAAUAGGGACAAUGGGGUGGGUUUGGGACAGGACACUCAUAUCCCAUUCCCAUCCCAAUUACACAGUUAUUUCCCAUCCUUAUUCCAAACUUGUGUUGGGGCAAGUUGAUUUGUUCCCAUCUUUGUUAACGAAAUGACUAAUAACCUCAUCCUCUCCUUGUCUUAGAUGUACAUUUUCUCAAAUUUGGUCAGGUAUGAUUGAUUCAAGCCCUAACCUUAAUUGGUAAUGAGUGGAUACCACACCUAAUUGCAUUCUUCUUUCGUUGCAAAAUAAUGAGAUUAUAAUAAUCUAGCAAAUAAGAAAAAAUAGUAUGGAAGUUCAAAUUAACACCAUAACUAUCAAUAAUUUUAAGCUUAUAGAUGACUUAAAUGAUUGAAAACUAAUGCAAAAUACUAAAAAAAAAAAAAAUCAUCUAAAGAAUUCACAAGAGAAUAGAACGAACAAAACCAAAUAGGAACAUGGGUCAACAUUAGUUACAGAUUUUGAUCCCUUUCAAGGCCAAUCUUUGAACCAAGACUUCAUCAAAUCUACUACUUCAAAGGCUUUUGUGUUCUUCUUGAGUUGUACUCUGGAACAAAGACUUCGAGGUGAUGCUUUAGAUGAUUGCAUUACACAUAUUUAGGGUAGGGAGAUUGGAGAAGCUUGAAGAUGCCAACGAUGGGUACAAUUGAGUGGUCAAUAAGAACAAUGUGGCCUAUGACUAGUUUGAUGUCAUGGUAUAGGAGUUUUGGGCAUUGAGGUGAAAGCAAGAGCAACAUGGAAUUGAUUUCAAAGUCUUUCAAUUAGUGUAAAGGAGGAAGAAGAAGUGGUAUUGAUCCUAGAAAUAGUGUUUUAGGUGUUGCAUUAGAGGAAAAGAAAAAGAAAAAGAAGGAACCAUUGGAAUUAGUACGAGUGUGAAGAGAGAAGUGUAUACAUAAGGGGAAGUAAAAGCAAAGUUCUAAAAAUUUAUUUUUUUAUUGGUGGUGUAUGGUUGCAUGAUUAUCCCUAUAAAUAAUAGGAGUUUUUUGGUGUUCUACUAGUAGUUGAAGGAUAAUUUCAUAAGAUAAUAUUUAGAGCGGGGUGGGGUGAGUUGUGACAAAAUCCAUACCCGUCCCAAACAUUGGUUCAGGUUUUUAAAAUAUUUUCAAACUUAUCAUAUACCCAAUUUUAUAUUUCAUACUUGUCCUAAUAGAGACAGGUUAGUCAGGGUUACUUGAGUAGCCUACAAAACUAUCAUCCCUAGUUGAAAUGCUCUUUUUGGCAGUGGCAGCUAGAAGCUCGAUCGAUUGACCUACAAGACUAGUUGUCAUCAUUUUAAAAAGAGUUUUGGCUUUGGUUGUGAGUGCAAUUGAAUCUAAACUAACAUUUCCUUAAUGCAUCUACUUCAAUCCUAAACUUCUUACUUAAGCCUCAAUUGUUGUUAAGAUUUUGGAAAACCCAUUUCCUUAAAUUGUAAAUUUAAGAAAAAAAAAAUUAAAAGUGAGACAUUUCUUGAUUGAAUGUUGUUAAAGGUCCCUUGGAAUUAAGACUUGGUUGAAGCCUUGGAAGAUUAGCAGAACUCUCAACU